rnacentral:lncRNA from 1 species
AGGCAAUCAGUACUUAAGAAAAACAGGGGCCAAAGAACCACUUGCUCUUUAUAAAAUAAAUAGGUACCAUAUAAUAUUGGUAGAUAAGUAUAGCUUGCAAGCAAAACCAUCUGGUUUGUAUAAUAACCAUUCCUUUUGCAAACAAGAACCAACACAACUGAAACUCAAAACUAACCUCAUCGUAUAUGUUGUAUGGAAGGGAAAAACCAAAAUCCAAUAGCAAGGUUGAAUUUGGGAAUUUUCCAUAUGUUAUCCAUACCUGGACAAUUGCACCAAGAGAAAUUCACAAUUAUGACAUCGAUUAAAGGUUUAAACCCCAGAGCAUGACUUUACACAUUUUAAUGGAUAUUUUCUCUACACUGAAACAUGUAUGAAAAGUGUGUUUGUACGUGCUGUUUCCCACAAUCUAUGUAGGGAUUUCACAAACUGUCCAAGGACAUAACAUAUAUAUAUUAUUGAAUCAAUAACAAAUAUAAAUAUUUUUAAGCAGCAAUUUCUAUCUGCAUACAACGAUUAGAUAUGCAGAUGACAACCUUUAAGAUGAAAGAAAAGCCAUUAAUGAGCCAUUAAACAUCAAAAUUAUUAAUCAAUGUAAAGAAAAAAAAUUCCAGGCUCGUGUUAACCAGAUGGCCACAUAUAUGUUUACAGUUAUAUCCAGACAACACUAGAAGGCAGACAAGCAGGGAAAAAAGAACACAAGAAACUGAGUAUACACAUCUAACACACAUAUAUAAAUAGAAGAAACAGAAGUAAGUUCCAGAGGGUAAUCGUAAAAUUAUUUUAAUAGAAGAAAAGAAUCAUCAAAGCUGCAUAUGACCUCUUCUUUAGGAGCAUAAUCUCGAUCAGCAAUAACCUGCACUGAAAAAUUCAAAGAAUUAAUAUUACAAAUAGAUAUUUCCUUCAAGCCUACCAAAUUUUACCAAAUUAGCUCCAAUAAUAAAGACUUCCUACUUUACUAGGACCAGAAAUAAGAGCAAUGGUCAACGAGAACAAGCAUCUUGUCCAGACCAAUUCUGUUUUAAGUUUUAAAUCAAGUUUUCCUAUUGAUUUUAAAAAUAAAGAACAAUUUAUCAAACAUUAGAGACCAUAUAGAACAUAGUUUUAUUCUACUAUUUGUCUCCAUCACACAGCUGGAAAAUUAAGAGAAAAAGAGAGAAUAUACCUCUGACAAUUGUUUAUCCUCAUCAUGCAACACAACUGCUUCUGAAAGCCCAUCGUGAUUCAAAAAAUCUGCAAAUGGAAUCUAUAGAAUAAUUUAUUAAUUCAAAGAAUUGAGCAAAAUAAGGGGGAAAAAUUACAAAUGAAGUGAACGCCGAAAGUUCUAUACAGAUGGCAUUUUUAUAAUAUGAUACCAGUGAUUCCCCCUUUGUGCUUCUCCAUGCUCGCAACUCAACCGGUACAUUCACACCAAACUAAUCAAGAUAACUUAUUAUAUUUUAGAUUCAAGAGUUUAUUUUUAAUUCAGGACUUCAGAUUACAAAACAGAAAUAUAGGAAAAUAAGACAAAAGCAAGUAGAACUUCUAACAAAAUAAGCUAUAAAAAAAAAAAUUCGAUUCAAAAUUUUUUGCAUAUCAUUUGCAAAGUGAACAGAUUAUUCCAUAAAGUUAGAAUCUGAAACAGUAUAGGAUUUUCAAGCUACAAGAAACUAAAGUGUUAUCACAUAUUAUGUUAUCAAACAAAAUAAAACUAAUUUCCAAAAUAUAUAUGUUGAAUAAAGCUAUUCAUCGCAAGCUUAAGGCCAUGCAUCACAUUUCAUUGAAUUUAAUAAGCAUUCGAUUAGGUUGGCAUAUCUAUCCAGACAUGCACAAAUAAAUAAACGAAGACAGGAUAUAUCUCAACAAAAUGAGGAACAAACAAUUUCAAAAUCUGAGUUUUAAUGUUCAUCCAAAAGCAAACAAACCCUAAAAAUUCACACAAAAGCAAGCCCAAUUUCAUAAUCAUAUUAACGAAAUUUUAAAAAUUGAUUCUUAGCAUUUUUUGGUAGCAUGUGUGAUUGAUUAACAACAUCAUACCCAAUUUCUUCACGACGUCGACAAAGAAUAGCGAUUGCGGCUAAGAGAUUGGACGUUCAUGCAUGUCAGUGGUGGCUGGUGGCUGUGAGGGUUUGUUUAAUGGCAAGGAUUGUCCAGCGUGCGCGAAAAAAAAAAGCAAAAAAAAAAGAAUUGAAAGGUUUUUUUUUUCAAGUUUCAAGUUCACUGGUUUAAAUUUAAAUGCACAUAGUAGUAUUUAUUUGCAUUAAAUAUGGAAAAAAAGAUAAUAAAAUUAUUAAGAAACAAUUCAGCUUGAGGCCCCCAAAACUAGGAGCUAGAUCUUGAACAUAAAUUCUAGGCACCACCCAUUAACAUACAAAACAAACCAUAGAAGCUAAGAAGAAAACUUCAUAAGCUAAAUUCAACAAAUAAUUAACAAAGUCAAAGCUUGAAACUUCGAAUUCAGUAAACCACCAAAAUUCAAAUAUUAUAAAGGGAAAAAAAAGACAACAAAGCAACAUCAGAUGCAUCAGAUCAAAGCAAUAGCAUGCUCAAAGAGCAGCCCAUCACCAAAACACUCAAAAGACAACCAAAAAACAUAAAAUUCAACAGAGUCAGCAAUCAGUCAAAUCCAACCAACAAACCCAGUAACAAUUUUAUUAAGAAACAGCUGAAAAUGACAAAAUUACUUUGAAGUUAGAACAAAAUUAGGUUCCUUGAAAAAUUAUUUUGAUCGUACAAAAAGAGCAUGCAAACCCAUAAUUCCUUUACUGAAUGCUCUAAAGCUGAGUAUUUGACGAAAAAGAUUAUUAAAAUUAGAAACGAGAACCAAUUACCUGUAAACCAACAUAGAAUCACCAACAACCAAAAAGACAUUGAGAGCAAGUUGCUUUGAUGAUACCUUGGUCUUGUGUUAGUCAUAAGCCCUUGAUAUAGAUUUGGUAGUUGGGGAAACUAAUUUUGAAUGGCACACGCUGCAUUCUAUCAUCCCGUUUUUCAUCAAAUUCGCCCCUAAAAGAAUCUGUUACCCGCAACACAAACUCGAAUCAGCCCUGAUAACCGAAGAGAAUUAAGCGUAAUUUAGCAGCUCUAACAUCAAAAUUCAAAAUCAUACUCCCAAUAACUUACAACAGCGCCAAUAACUCAGAGAAUCACUUGCCACAUUAACCACAUAUUAGAAAUCCAAACUUCCACUUUAACUUUAGAUGAUGAAGUAAACAAAAAUCAAAAUUUCACCAAGACAGAAGCAAAAAAAGGUGAACUUUUUGUACCAUUUUAAUUCUAGAAAAACUAAAAUCUGUUACCUACAUUUUCCCAACAACCAAAUAAAGCAUCAAGUAUUAAGUUAAGAUACUAUAAAUUAUAUGAAUGAUCAAAAACUCUAGCUACUUUUCACCUGCAGCAUGACAAAUGAUUAGUAGAAAAAGCUGUUUUAGGCCAUUGACUUACAAAUCCGUUUUCCAGGGCUCUGAAAUCCAGGUCCAAAUAAACCUGUACUCAUCAACAAAACCAGCACAAACCCUAAAAACCAAAAACAUCAUUUUCUCAAAAUUUCCUCACUUUUCUCACAAACAAAACAAAACCCAUCACAGUACUUACGAGAAACAAAGUCUUCCAAAACUCAAGACCAGUCUUUGGAGGCUCCGCAAUUCUGGUAGCCCAUGAAAUCAGUAUCAUCAACGACCCACAAGGCAGGGACAGAGUUGAAGUCCACCAAGGAUAGGGAAGAUCAGCAACCCCGCCGUUGAUCGUUGCCGAAGAAGGAGAUCAGCUCGUGCUUGUGCCGCCGUUGAUCGUUGCCUAGGAACUCCUUCAGCCGCCGCCGUUAAUCAUUACCGACUCGCGGCGCUGUUGAUGGCCGUGGUGAGGCGUGUUGUGAGGGAGUGAGGUGAGGGAGUGGUGAGGCGUUUGGCGUGUGAGUGAAGCGGGAGCCAGUGGAGAUGGAGAUGUAAGGUGAGGGUGAGCUGUGAUCGCGAGGUGAGGAGUGAGUGGUCAGGACCUUUUGUUUGUUUCAUUUACCGAUUUUACAGGUUCCCUUUCCUUGUAAAUUUUUUUAUUAUUUAAUACUAAAUUGAAUCACAGCCAUUGGAUCCACUCCACUUAAUCCAACGGUAAUUUUUCCUUGUAGCAUCAGCCCUUUUUUAAAUAAAAAAUAAAAAUAAAAUUAUUGGGACACAGGAUAUGAUAGUUGAAACCCAUGUUUGUGGACCGAAUUUGACAGGCAACCACUUAAAAUUUAUGCCUCACACUUGAGAUCGAUUGGAUUCAUGGUGAUGAAGACUAUUUAAACACUUGACCGACCAGAGCAGAGAUACUAGUAGUAUCAUUUAGCAGUAUUGUUUCUUAAUAUUUUUACUCUCUCUCCCUCGUGAUCGUCGUGGCAGAAAAACAUAGCGUGAAAAUACAUUCAGUUAGCAAAAUCAGCCCGCCGUCGUCCGACUCAGUCAUCGCCUCCACUCUUCCACUCACCUACUUCGAUACUCUCUGGCUAAAAUUUCCACCUUCAGAACGCCUCUUUUUCUAUCAAAUCACUGACCUAACUUUCGAUUUAUUCAACUCAGUGAUCCUUCCGAAGCUCGCUGACUCUCUCUCUCUCACUCUCCUUCAUUACCUCCCCCUCGCCGGUCACAUAAUGUGGCCUGCGGACUCCGCGAAGCCAGCCAUUUACUACUUCCCUGACCAAAACGACGGCGUCUCAUUUACCGUUGCUGAAUCCGACGCCGACUUCAGCCACCUCUCUGGCAAUAACGGAAACCGCGAAGCCGUUGAAUUUCAUCAUCUGGCGCCCCAGUUGUCCAUAUCCGACGAUAAAGCUGAGGUGGUUGCUAUACAAAUAACUUUGUUUCCGAAACAAGGGUUUUGCAUCUCCGUCUUGACUCACCACGCUUUCAUCGACGGGAAAAGCAAAACAAUGUUUGAGAGAUCUUGGGCUUAUUUCUGCAAACAACUAAUUCAGAUGCAACAACAAAACCUUAAUAAUUCUUCGAUAUUAUUACCCACCGAGCUAAUCCCGUGCUUUGACCGGACUCUCAUCAAAGAUCGGAAAGGGCUGGACGUGGUUUAUGCGAACCACUGGCUGGCUUUUCAAUCCGACAAGCGAAGCUUGAAGCUCGUUAGUAUGCCGGCUCUGAAAGCACAUUCCAGCAUGGUUCGAAAGAGUUUCGAAUUGACCCGCGAAGACAUAAAGAAACUGAGGGACAAGGUACAGGGAAAUGAGGUUCUCAUAAGACAAGCAAAAGAACUUCAUUUGUCGUCUUAUGUGCUCACAUGUGCUUAUGUCUACGUUUGCCUGGUUAAAGCAAUGGGAGUAGAAGGUGACGCAACUGUUAUGCUGCGGGUCGCAGCAAAUUGUAGGAGCCGGUUGGAUCCUCCUCUUCCGGUUAAUUAUUUUGGUAACUGUGUUAUUAGUGGGCAUGGUACCCCUGCAAAAGCAAGCGAUGUCGUGGAUCCGGAAAAUGGGAUCGCAUUUGUUGCUGACAAGUUAAGUGAUUUGGUCAAAGGGCUGAAGAGGGAAGUCAUUGAAGGAUCCGAGGAGAAGAUUUUGAAUUUGUUGAAAUAUGUAAAAGAGGGUGGAGGACAAGCUCCAGGAAGAUUGCUUGGGGUCGCCGGGUCGAACCGUUUUGAUGUUUACGGGUCAGAUUUUGGGUGGGGGAAGCCGAAAAGAGUGGAGAUUAUUUUAGAUCGUGUUGGUCCUGUUGGAUCUAUUUAUUUAGUAGAGAGUAGAAAUGGAGGCGGUGCUGUUGAGGUUGGUGUUGUUUUGGAGAAGCCACAGAUGGAAGCUUUUUCGUCUCUCUUCGUUAAUGGCCUUAACUGAGUUUAUCAUAUUUUUGAGUUUUUUUCCUCUUCAUUCUAUUCUACCAUAUGAUAUGAGAUUGUGAUGGUAUACUCGUUAUUGCUGAGGGCGCUUAUUCGAAUUUGCACGCAGGCUCUUUUCUCAGUAAACCUAUUACAGUCUUAUUACAUAUCAUAUAUUUGUAGAUCAAAACUAUUAAAAAAUAAUUAAGGACUUGAGGUUAUUCUCUUAUUUGAUAAAUAUCUAAUUAGUAGUAAAUGUCAGCUGUUACCUCUUUAUAUUUUUGCUUUGAAUAAAAAAAAAAUAAACACUUAUUUUUUAUGUAUUUAUUUAUUUAAAUGUCAUAUCUUUAAGUUUUUUAAAUUAGAGUGAUAUCUUGAUAUCACUAUUCACUAGGGCCAUGCAUAACUUCUAGAAAUGGUUGAAAGUUGAAACUUCAUCCUUUUGGCAUUACAUAUGAUGCGCCCGAAAGAAACUUCAACCACAUGAUCCGCACGGAUGGCCAUUGCACAUUAUUAAAUAAGUCUCAUGCCCUUGAUCACACGUGUACUAAGUCAAAAUAUUGACAAAUCUCAUUUUCGAUAACAUCUUAAAGGGAAAUAUUUAAUUCUAAAUAUGCUUCGCCCUAUUAAUGUCGAAUUCUUCAAAACUCAUUUGGUGAACAUAAAAUAUGUAAAAUACUGAUAUACGCGUAUGUAUAUUCUACUUACAUCGAUAAUGCGCAAACUAGUUGAUUUCACCAUUCAUUCGUUGAUUUAUGACUGUGGCUCCUUUUUAAUUAACUCAAAAAACAUAAUGAUAUAUCCAGCAUAUAAAAUUUAUGAAAAUAAUAAAUUAAUUUUCAAGGUACUCUCCAUGAGUUCAUCAACCGACAUAAUAAUAAAAAAUUAUUAAUUAAACGUUUCAUGGCCUAAGUUAACAUAAUUGAGUUUUCAUAUAUAAACUAUCAAAUAUCAUACACUUCUUUUGACAAUUACGAGAUCCAACUUAGUAUCGACUUAAACAUAGUCAUAGAGCACUUAAUUUAAAAUUUCAUAUUACACACAACAUUAAUGUUUGUAUAUAGUUUUGUUAAGUAUUAAAAUUUACCUUUGUUCAUCAAUUUAAGUUUUUAAGUCAAAGGAUUUCAUUAACCUGUUCUUAUGGCUGAACAACCCAAUUCUGUCAAUAGAAAUUUAUUGAUAAAACUCAAACUUUCAAAUUGAGAAUUCUAUCAAAAUUUAAGACCCAAAAUAGUUUCAUGAUACACUUGAACAAGGCAAAAUUGACAGUCAAAUCCAAGGAAUAGGUAUUAUUGAAGAUGAGGGUAAGGGAUAGAAAACAAACCUUUCAGGAGCUUUUCUCUUACAGUUAUACUCUUCUUGCCAUCAGAUUUCCCAGUGUGUGCUACAACUCUGCUGAGGGGUGGAGGUUUAAUCCACUUCCAGCAGCCAUCUAGCUCCUGAGAAAAGUUGCAGAUAUCAAUUAAAAAGAAAAAUGUACAGUUUAAGCUCACAAGAAGUGAAAUUAAACCAUUCAGGAAAUUGUCUGAUCAGAUUUUUCCUCAUUAUCUAUUAUUUUGAACUCAUGUCAACUUAUGUUCACUGAUGAGUGGCUAAGGUUGACAAAAAGAUAAUAUUCCAAAAAAUGGUAGCAACCAAACCAGUGAAAUCAAACAGAAAUCUAAAGCACUCACAUCAAAAUCCCACGAUGGACGUUCCUUUCUCUUCGUAAUGUCAAGUGCAUUCUUCAACUCUGGAAGUUCUGGCAAUGGUCUAGGAUGGUCUCCAUGGUCAUCACUGCAGUCAAGGUAACCAGAAGUUUGUUAGAAGAGAGGUAUAUUAAAUAAAUAGUUAAAUAAACCAAGUGACGAAAUACAAACCUUGUCCAUGGGGCAGGAUCAUUAUCACAUCUAACAAAUAGAUAUCGACAGACUUUGAAACCCUAAUGCAGAAAAACAAUAUCAGCAAUUUAACACAGCAAAAGAUCAACCAAAUGAGAAGUUUCCUUAUAAUUGAGAACAUAUAUUAACUUGGACUCCAAUUUUUCGCCAACAUUCUUCAAUCCUAUAGAUUCCGUCAUACCGCAACCCUUUCUCUGGGGCAUAUGAAGAUCUCUUCUCCUUGAAAGACCUAAGCAUCAAAAUAAUGGAAAAUAUUAGAAUUUUCAACUUAAUGAAAAAUGAUGCACCGGCAUGGACAUCAUUUCUCACAGCAGAGAUCAACUCAUUCAGAGUUAACACCAAUCUUUCUUGAUAAGAUCACAUCAAUUUUAAAUGUCUCAAAUUUAUUUAUAGCAUUAUACACGGUUCCGAUGACGUGUAUGUUAUUGAUUUCAUGCUUUACACGCACCUAGACUAACUUAAAUGUAUAUACUAAUAUUUGCUGUCAAGCUCCUUGACUAUUUUAAAACAACAAACCUUCUUCCAUCUACAUGGCCAUUGUGAGGGAAAUAAUAGUCAAGUGAAGUUAUAUCUGGUAUGAGGAUGUAAUAAGUAAAAAAUGAAUGAUUUUGCAGUCAACAUUUGAGGACGAUUUUUUCCUUUUUUCCUUUUUCUUUCUAUAAAAGCAACUCCAAAGCUUUCUUUUCAUUGUAAGCAUGCAUCAGUUUUGUGAGUUAUAUUUCUGGUUACAAGCAAACAAAAAUUUAUAUUUCCUGUUGUUUACUUUUGUGGAAACAACAUGAUGUGUAUCUUUCUGAUGCAAAAGAAAUCUGUAUAAAAUAUAAAGUACACAUCUAGAAUCAAAAUGAUCAUGGAUUACGUUAAGCCUUUCAGGAGAGUAAAAUCACCAAUCAUUAAUGCAUAAUGCAGAAAAUAGUUUUGAUCACAAAUCUUGCAUAUAUAUGUUAUAGCGAGGAAAUAAAAAAUAAAAAGAUUUGAUAAAACAAGGGGAGACUUUUGAAUUCAUAUUUACCGAACAACUCGAACAGGAUAGCCUUUCUUGCAACUGACACGUAGAGCCUCGUUCAGUUUCAGAAACUUCUGGUCAAAUGACUGAUUCUUGUUUGUGCGCUUAUUGCCACUCAAGUCACGACCACCACUGUAUUUAUCUCCAUUCAAACAAGUCAGCAAUUGUAAACAUGAUAAUACUUCUAUAGAGAAAGCAUUCCAGUAAAAGGGGAGAAGAAACAACACAGAAUAGUUAAUACUAAAAUAAAAAAAAAUCAUAAAAAUUGACCACCACCGACAUAUUCGUUGUUUAAUAAAGCAGUAAUGGUCUCCAAAAACCAAUUUCCAAUGGUGCAAUUACGUUCCUGUGUAGAGAAACCACUCUCCAUGAUCCUCAUCAUUUUUUUUAAGUUUCCGUUAAUUUUUUUAACGGAUUCCAAACAUAAGUGAAAAAGUGCAAUAAAAUAUAAAUUUAGGUGGAUUCCAACAAAAAUAAAUUAUGUAUUUUUAAAAAAAUAAAAAAAAUAAAGGAGGGUGAAUAUUUUCUCAAAAUAUUAAUAAAAUUACAUGCAUGAGGGACGCACGUGCAGUUCACGUGCAGUUCACGUGCAGUUCUUACUUCCAUCGUUCAACUGUGUAACUGACUCUACUUGCACAGUAGGCGGUCCCCGUAUCAUGCCAAAAGCUUGUGCUCAUAACCGCCCUUAACAAGUUAAGAUUGUGACCGUGCUAUCUCUAUUCCUCCAAUUCCAAACGUAUAAAUAAAUAAUACGCAGAGAUUGUUGUGAUUAUGGAAUCUAAUUCAGAAUCUUGGCUAGGUAUGGUAAUGAAUUGAAUUUAAUUAUACAGUUCACGCGCACUAAUUGUUCGACGAUUUGUCUCAGUGAAGAUACAUUUCACGUGCUCACAUAAUGUUCAGAAGAAGAUACAUUUCAUCUUCAACCCCAUUUCCAAAAUCAUGUUCCAUGUGGGUCCCAAUGAAGCAAAAGUCAACAGGAGGAUGGCGAUCCAAGAAGAAAAUAUACCGUAGAGUUCAUGAACUAGACAGAGUAAUGGAGUUACAAAAGAAGCCAUCUUUAAUCCUGCAACUCAAAUCCAUCAUCCAAUCACAGAAGCAAAAGUGCCUCCUCCGUGACCUCGAAAAGCAAGUUGGGUUUGUUCAUAAAUGGAACUUCAUGGCUGUCAUUGAGAAGUACCCUUCAAUAUUCCAUGUUGGUGGUGGCAGCAACCGGAAGCCUCCUUUUGUUACACUCACUCAGAAGGCUGAAAAGAUUGCCGAUGAAGAGGAGGUGGCGAGGGAGUUAAUGGAACCCAUUUUGGUUAAAAAUCUAAGGAAGCUGUUAAUGAUGUCAGUUGAUUGUAGGGUGCCAUUGGAAAAGAUUGAAUUCAUAGAAUCCGAAUUGGGUUUGCCUCAAGACUUCAAGAAGGCAUUUCUUCCGAAGUAUGAUGAUUUUUUUACGGUGAAAGAUACCAAUGGGAAGCCUUAUCUUUACUUGCAAAAUUGGGAUGCCUCACUGGCUGUUACUGCUCGAGAGGAAAGAUUGGCACGCGAAGGAGUUUUGGAUUCUGCUGGGGCCCAAAAGAGGGUUAGGAUCACGAAAGAUGGUAACUAUUCUGGUCCCAAUGCAUUUAAGAUAUGCUUUCCUGCUGGAUUUAGACCGAACACAAGUUAUCUCGAGCAACUUGAGAGGUGGCAGAGAAUGGAAUUCCCUUCUCCAUACUUGAACGCGAGGAGAUUUGAAUUGGCAGACCCAAAAGCUCGAAAAAGAGUUGUGGCUGUGCUUCAUGAGCUCCUUAGUUUGACUAUGGAGAAGAGAAUGACAUCUGCACAAUUGGAUGCAUUUCAUUCGGAGUAUAUGUUACCGCAUAAAUUGUUGCUUUGUUUGAUUAAGCAUCACGGAAUUUUUUACAUCACGAAUAAAGGUGCUAGGAGUACUGUGCUCCUUAAAGAAGCUUACGAUGGUUCAAAUUUGAUAGAUAAAUGUCCUUUGUUGCUAUAUAAUGAUAAAUUUGUUGCACUUAGUGGUAGAAGAGAGAUCAAUUCGUGUAAUGGGAAGUCUCUAUCAUAGAUUUGAACCUGAAGAUAUCAUUUGGUAUUUUGAGAAUAUUUCGUAUACAAUGUUUUGGUUUAAUAGUUCAUGAGUAACACCAUUGAGCACUGUUAGAAUACUGAUGACAUGUCUUAGCUUUAUGCCCCUGGUUUCUAUCCAUCUUUAUGUCUUAACCUUCGGCAUUUCUUUUUAGUUAUGACUUUAAACAUUAAUAAUCCAAAAGUAAUAAAUUUGUAUAAAUGCCUGCUAUCUUCUCUAAUCUUCUUUCACCUUUCUCAAUCACUAAUCACUAAUAUAUGAAAUUGAUUGGCGUGGUUUAUGCAUGUGUUUAUAUGCAUAACACGCCGAAUUGAGUGAUUGAUUCAAGGGACAUCACUAUAAUUCCUUGGAUGAAUGCUCGCUCAUCAUAUUUUUUGAAACCAGACUUGUGGCUCGCAUGGCUGGUGUGCUGUAAGCUCAGGGCUCUUAGCUCUCAUGUAUUAUCAGUUGAGUUGGAUGAUGAAACUUUCUUCCCAUAGAUGACUGGUGAAAUUGUGUCAUUUGCAAAACUGAGUCGUUUGCAAAAUUGUCAUGUUUUAGCUUAAUGCAAUGAGAUUUUCUGUACCAUUUGAUUCUCCAUGUUCACCACUGAUUCAAGUGCAUUAUCACAUGAUUUUAAAAUGGCGAAUUAAUCUGGGACUGUUGUAUUAAUAAUGAAGAGGAUGUUUAUGAAACAGUAGAAGAAAAUCUCCACAACUUCACUUUUAUUUGCUCUAUCCAUUAAUUUUUUUCACUUGUCCUGCCAUGGACAUUGGUCCAAUAGCUCUGGGCUCGAUCCGGGCUACUUGCACUCGGUUACGAUAUAUUAUCGAGUAUUUUAGACCUUUUCAAUAAACUUUUCUAAGUUCAUUAAAUAAUAAUAAUAAUUAAAAAAAAAAUCUGUUCAAUCGUUGAAGUGCUGUAACAUUCCGUGCAAGCCCAACUUGAUUUCUUAGUAUUUGGGUCUCAUGCCUGGCUCAAAUCUUCUCAUAAUGGGCCUUGCCUUCACAAAUUUAUGGAAUCCAAAUCUGGAGAAUCCUUGUUGAUGUAGGGGCAAAAGUUUUGUCAUAUAAAACGUGGAACUCGAAAAUCAAAUUUGACAUUUGAGAUCUCUUAUUGAUUAACAUGUUGCCGUUAUUUGAAUUACUCAAUUGUCUUUCUUGAAAGAGAUGUGUUGUUAGCAUUAUUAGGAUUAGGCGUACCGACACAAACAUGUAUGCUUUAUGGACGCGAUUUAUACGCGAAGAUUUGACCAUUUUGUCUCAUCAACCGUAAACUGUGACUUUUUUACACACAUAUAUCAUAUAUGUAUAUAUAGGGUAUCAAACGGUUCGAAGAGGUUUAAAAUUCCAAUCUUGUACUUGGCAGACAAAAAAUGAGUCUUUUCAAUAAUUAAAAAAAAAAAAUUACAAGGUCCAAAUAAGUAUCUUCAAAAUUGGGUUGGGGGAAAGGGGAAGUAAAAAUAUUAGCUUAGCUUAGCUAUAAUGGGAGGAUAAUAAAUGUGGCUUCAAUAUUAGGAUACAUCCGGAUUCCCCUUAGGUGCAACAGUGGCACCGUAGCCUGAUCCGAUACAUCCUUGAUUUUCCCAUCCACUUACACGAACGGAGACUGUGCUAUUAAUGAAGGGUCCAGAAUUGGGACAGGCCUUUAAUGCCCAAUCACUAUCCAUCCAUCAUUCCAUUAUUGACUUGAAAUUUUUUAAGUCACUGGUUUUUCAAUUAAAUUACUCAGUGAUGUGUGGAUGUAGCACUCAUGGAGGGAAGAUUCCCCCUCUAAGGGGAAAGGAAAGUUUCAGUGUAACACUCAAGAAAUUGAAUUCAUUGAAUAAGUGGAGUUGCUUCACACUACGGUCCAUUAUUGUGAUGAUGAUGGGGUCCAAGAAGCUGUGUCUUCUUGUUCUUGUUUUCAAUGCGUGUUUUUGUUUUUGUCAGAAAUGGGUAAAAAAAAAAAAAAAAAAAAAGAGAGAUGACCACAACUUUAAUAAUUGUUACACUAAAAUAGCAUUGAAUAGCGAUGCCCAAAAAUUUACAUUUAACAUUUAAGUGAUGGUUGUUGAUAUUUUCUAUAAAGGUUUUUAAAUCUUCUGUAUAUCAAUUGUACAUACAACCAACUAAUAAAAUUAUCAUACGGGUUUUUUUUUUUUUUUUUUUGUACAUGAAAUUUGUACAAACCACUUGUUAGAAAAAUAUUUAUUAAUCGAGGUUUUAAUAUUAAUAGCGGUAGUAUAUUGUUACUAAUUAUCGUUGUAUUAUUACAACAGCAUCAGUGCCGAUUCGACAUUUCAAACAAUUGCUUAGUUAGUAAUCCAAAUUUCACAUUCUUGAAAAAUUGCAAUGAACCUUCCAAAUUGUAAUUGAUUGAUCGAUCAAGAUAUAAAAAUUACAAUUGAUGUAAUCUUGUGAUAUGCAUUGAUCCCUCCUCCACUAACAAUCCAAUUAAUUAAUAUUUGGUUUCUUCUGGUCGAUCGACCAUAUAUUUUAUAUACAAGACAUUGUUGCACUAGUGUUUUUUUUUUUUUUUGUGCAUGUAUAAAUGUCAUGUUAGGAUUGUCAUAGUCAUACAACUGAUGAUUUGCUCCUAGGGACUAAAUUUUGAGGUCCAUUAUUGGUGGCACUGCAAAAUGUUUCCUCCAUUGAUUUGGUAAUUAAAUUGUCCACUCUAGCACAAUAUCAUGCGCAUCCAUGUAGCUGGUACUGCAAAAUGUUUCCUCCAUUGAUUUGGUCUUCUGUUAAUAGUUGAUUCGCUGUAUUGUCACCAUUAACUUCAAGCUCAAGUCUGUUUAUUUCACUAUUUACAUUAUACAUAGGUCAAACCACAUUAACAAUUGAUAUGAUUACCAUGCCAGUGCAUAUCAGUAAAUUAGUCACGUGUUACAAGUUUAGCAUUUGAUGUUACUACAAUUACAUGCUAUUCUAGGUAUUAUUCCUAGCAUUGUACCUAAAUCCACAUUGGCAUCUUUGUUCAUGAUAGAUAUGAUUUCAUUUGAAUAGGGGAUCGCUUUUUAAUAUGUCAAAGUAAACACUUAGUCCAAUCUAAUAUCAAAACAUCCUAUCCAUCCACAUAGAAAAUCCAUUUGUAUGUUUUAUAUAUAUAUGUAUAUAUAGAGGUACCCACAUAUCUAGAAACCAAACAACAUGAAUAUAUGAUUUGACUGGUUAGCUUUUGGAGUGGGUGCUUAAAGUAGAGAAGAAGAAACUAUUACAAAAACUUUUUACUCACAAAGUGCCGCCCACCAUUGAAUGAGAAAAAAGAAAAGAAAGCAUAAUGAUUUUACCCAAGAUGGGGGGAAGUUGAAGUUGGGUUUGCAACCACAAUGGCUUAAGAUCCCAUUGAAAUGGCAUUGUGCUAGUGGGAAAAGCUGAUGUUUACACUUGCACACCAAUCUAUCAAAACCUAAAAAGAAAGAAUAGUUGUAAACACUUCUUUGCUUUUUACUCUUUUUGUGUUUCUUUAUUUACUCUUUUCAAUGUUCCAUUGAUAGUGGAUUCAAAAAAUGCAAUAACUCAUGUCUUUAUCUUUAGCCUUACUCCACCACCCAAAUCCAUUCUUGUAAAGAUGACUCAUGGCAGGUCAUUGAAAUUCCCACACACCCAUAAAGGAAAAAAAGGAAAAAAAAAAUUCAAAAAUUCAUUGUGUAAGAUAUGAUUUCUAGGUGAAUGGUUGGUUGUUUUAUACCCUCUUUUCUUUAGGGAGAUUGUGGAUUCUUUUGUUGACCCACCAUACCUUUUAUAAAAAGAAAAUUAUAUUACCCAUUACCUUCUUCACAUAGGCUAUUGAAAAUAAAAAUGUGCCUAGUAGGAGAAGGGAGAAGCAUCUCCAUCACUAUAACCCAAUUUCUAAGUCAAAUUAGGUUAAUGGGAACCCAAAAUUUUGCUUCUUCAAAAUUAAAAUCAAUUAAUUAUUUAAUAACACUUUGAUGCCAUCAAACCCCCUUUUUUUUCCAGGUAAGGUAGAAUCUUCCAUUGAAUUGAAAAUAUGAGUUGUAAAUUUAUUCCAAUCCAAGUUCUAUGAAUUUUGAGAGGGUUUGUAAUUUAAAGUAGUGACUGACAUACUAAAUUUGAAAUGGUACAUUGGGGCCAACUCAAUUCUAAUUUGACCUAUAUAUAUAUAUAUAUAUAUAUCUUGGAUCUUAUAAAAUUUUCUCAAGUGAGGUGAUGGCUUUUUAUGAUGUUGGUAUGUGGGGUCCGAAACUAAAGAGUAAAUAAUGAAAUCUACUGGGAAACAAACAAAGAAAAGAGAAAGCAGCAAAAUCAAUUCUAAGAUGAUGAUGGACUGAAAACAAUGAGUGCCCCCUUUCACAAGAGAAGAAAGCUAGGGUUCCCAUCAUGGCCCCCAUGCCUUGUUUGAUUGGAUCUAUAUUCUAUUCUUUGCUUUAUUUAUGUAUAUUAUUUUAUUUCAAGCAGCCCCACUUCUUCAACUGAAAUAUUAUGGGAAUAUUUAUAUGGUCAAUAUCAACAAACAAUAAAGUCUAUGGACAACUUAUUUGACACAUUUCUAUCUCUUUACUUUACAUCUUGAAUCUAUGAAAAAAAAAAAGAUUUAAAGCUAAAACAUGGUCCUCAUUAGGCUUUUCCCAUCAAUAUUGCAACUUGGGUUCAAUCGGUCAAGUGUCAUUUUCUUCGUUGUUGGCAUUUUGUUGGCUAGGUCCGUAAUGUAUACGUGACGAUGAAUUCGAGUUUUGAAUUUAAUUAAAAUAUAUAUGGUGGAAUAUGUAAUUGGGGUGCAUUGAAAGAAUAGUAAUAAGGGAAUAAGAAAUAUUGUUGAGGGAAAAGAUUGUGACCCGCAUGAAGUAGAUGUGUGAUUCUAUUGAAGAAAGGGACCGAAUCAAUGAAUUGGAUUAAUUUAUUGAUAUGUCUUUUACUUGUGAGGGAGUCAUGGGGGGUGUGUGGGAUUUAAUUGCCUUUUUCUUUGGUAUUAAUAAUUUUUUUUUUUUUUAAAAAAAAGGGUGUUUUAUUGUUGAUCAUUUAGGUAAAGGGGAUUAUUGACAAUUUUUAUUAAUUAAGUUGGAGAUGGAGAUUCCAAUGCGCAAUGCACACCACUCAACUAAAACACUCAUGAUAUCAUAUGUGCCAUUUGACAACUAAUCACUAAUUAAUUCUCAUUUGACAAUCCCAAUAAUCUCCUAAGAUAUCAUAUUUUAAACAAAUUUUUUUUUAAAGAAAAAAUGUUGAAAUCAAACUUAGUUAAAUAAUUAUCCAAUUUUAUAUCAUCCCAGUUUGAAUAAACCUAAAGACGUGUAGUGCGGGACCCAUAAUCACAAGUGUAAACUACUUCAUUGAUUAUUGCUUUUAAGGAUGUAAUCCACAACCACCUCUUGCAUUUUUAUUUAAAUAAAUUUGAAAGCAUUGUUCACUUUUUUUUCCUUUGUUAAAAAAAAUGUGUAGUACUUGAGAUAAGAUUGAACUAAAUUUCAAAUACAUACAAACAUAAACACCCAUAUUUAAUUAUUUAUUUAUUUUUAUAUAUUAGUUAAAACAAAUGCUUUGUUAUAGUUGGGGUCAAGACUCAAACCAUACAAUGACACAUGAAGAGAAUUAAAUUCUUGAAACGGUGUGCUAUAACUUAUAAUAUUUUGAUCAUCAAACCAGAGAUGAAUCCAAUAAGUUGUUUGAGAUUAUUUCAACUCCAAUAACAAAUUGUUUGACGUGUGAAUUACCAAGACGGAGGAAUAUUACCAAAAGAAAAUUAUAAAAUUGCAAUUUCAAGUCAAGCUAAUUAGCUGUUUGUUGACGCAAUUUGUUUCAAUUGUUUUAUUUUAUUUUAUUUUUUUGUUCUUUUUAGUGUUUGAUUGAGCGUAAAUUAAGCUAAUUGGUGAACCACCCAAUUGCGAAAAUUUAAUUAAUUUUUUGAAGAAAUAAUUAUUUCGUUUGAUGGACUUUGAGAGCACUUCUCAAUCAACAAUUUAAUGCAAAGAUUAGUUGUUUUAGCCACCCUUUGCUAAAGUUAAAAAAGAAAUUAAUGGGCGUGCAUCAAGCAUGGAAAUUGAUUGUGACCUACUGUUUGCUUUUGAAAAUAACCUAAUAUUUAAUCGUUGUACUGCAAUUAAAUUGCACCAAAUUGGCAAAUGCUGUUGUGUGCAAGAUUCUUUUCAAACAACCCAAAAAAAAUGCGUACACAAAAGGCCAAAAAAAAAAAAAAAAAAAUUCAUUUGAUUAGACUUGUCAAAUCAAACGAUUUGUCAAUUUCUUAAUCGAAAGUAAAAGAUAAAUUGAUAAUUGAUUCAUGCCUUCAUGAAUUGAUUUGAUUGGCCAAACAUUAUUGCGUGUGAGUCGCAUGAUUUACAUGUGAACCGCAUAUGAAAUAAAGUCUAAACUAGCAACUACAUAGAAUAAGUUAAAGCAAGCAACCACAUCAAUUAAGGAAAAUAAGAAAAAUAAAAACAAACAAAUUUAUGUAACGAGUGAUGAUGAUAAGAGUGAGAUAAAGUAGAUUCACAAUUUGAUAUUCAAUAAUGGAGCAUAAAUGCUAUUGAGGCCAGUUUAAGGGAGCGACUUCUUUAAAAAGGCUUACAUAAAUUUCAUUUAAAAACAAAAACAUAAACUUAACCACUUUAUGAUGCAGGCAGGAUUCACAAGAUCUUUGCGAGUAGAUCAAGAUUUUUGUCAUGAUUUGUGUUUUCAAUCUAAUCACUUAGUAAUUGGUGGUUAACAAAUAAAAAUAUAACAUUAAUUAAAUUCUGACAAUACUUCUCGCCGAAAGGUACAUAACAUAUGAUACUAUGAUUUCGUGGGUCGAUUUGUUAUCCAAAUUUUUAGAAGUUCGACUAUUAAAUAUGAGUUUACGUGUCGAAAUUUGAAAGUUCUAAUUAUUGGAUAUGAGUCUGUUUACUAUCCAAACUUAGAAAUUUGAAUUCUAUUCUCAAAAUUUUUAUUGCCUAUCUAUAAAUUUAUUAACAACAGCUUCUUUUUUUAAGAUAAACAUUAAAUUCUUUUGAAUGAUCAAAACAUUUUAUUUGGUAUUUACGGAAAAAUCGUUGUACCAUAAGUUUAAAGUUUUUUUCCCCAAAAUUAUCUUAUAUAAUAAUGAUUAUACAAAUUCCAAUUACCUAUUAUUUUGUUUUGGUUUUUAAAGAAAAUUCCAAAAGUCUAGAAAAUUGAGAAAAAGGCAAAUUAAGGGCUAAAAAUCUAACUUGACGUCUCAAUGGAUGCGGUCCAAAAUAGUACAUGCACUGGUGGGCAUUAUGAUGUUCCAAUGCAAUCAAUUUUUUAAAACACAAAAAAUAAAGAUCAAUUAUUUAAAAAAAAAAGGAAUUUUCUUUAAAAAAUAUUUAUUCAAGGCGCAAUGUUCUCCAACUUUUGAUUAGAUUCCUAGGCAAGAUCGGCUCCUAAUUUUAAAUAUUAUUUAUAGAAAGUAUAAGUCCAUUCACUUGCCCCCCAUCAUACGUUUAAUUAAAUAAUUCAAUAUGCAUGAUUAUCAUAAACUUUGUCAAAUUAUUUUAUUCUAAAAAUAGAAAUAAAUUUAAAUAAUGAUUCUUAAUGAAUUUGGGGAAUCAGAUUCACGUGUCAUGGAGUGCAUGCCGGUCAUAAAGGAACAGAUGGUCCAUGAUCUAAUGUGGGCCCCAUAAACUGCCUAAAAAUCCUAUGAACAAAAUCUCAUAUUUUCUAUUCGGUUUAUUUAUUUAUUUAUUUAUUUAUUUUGGGGUUUUGUCUUCUUUAAAUUGUUAACUUUGGCAUUUGUUUUUGUGGGUGCCACUUCAAGUGAUUCUCUGGCUUGUCUUCUAAUUUUUAUUUUUAUUUUUAUUUUAAUUUUGGUAUAUUUUCCAAUCAACCAAUUGAUUUAUAAAACUGGCACUUUGCUUUGCUCUGCACAAAUUUAAAGUUGCAGACAAUUUGGGUACCUUCUGAAAGAGGAUAAGACAAGCAAGUAAUAAUUUUAUGGCUGAUUACAAAGUCAUCUAAAGACAAGAUGUUCUGGAAUUUAUCUUGAUUCCACAGUAAUUUGAUUUUAAAAUUUGGAUCUUUCUCUUCAUCUAAAUUGCGAAAAUUGAUUAUACAACUAAAAUUUAAUUUUCUUCCAUUUUUCAAUUACCCAUUGUUAAUUUAGAACAUUUUCAUUGUUAGAAAAAGUAUAGCAACUAUUACAUGUGUUUUUGCAAUUGAAUAUAGGCACUUAAUCUCCGUGUUCUAAAAUGUUAAAUGAUGAUUACGACUAUAAAUGAGCACAGUUAAAUGAUCAGAUUUUAUUAGUUUUUAUUUUUAUCAUUUGACCUACCAAUACAUAGUUGAACUCGAUAAAAAAAAAUAUAACGAAAUCUUCAUCAUACGGCAAGUUGCAGCCAUUAGAAAGAUAACACCUAUCUACAAUUUUCUUUUUUCCUAUAUAUAUGCGAACAUGCUAACAGAACAUAUAAUAAUGUUGUCCAUUGUCAUUUCAUAUACAGUGAUUCGUGACCCAUUCCGAAUUGCCUAACAAUAGUUGUUGAAAUUCCCUAAUUCUAAAUACACAUUACUUCUUUCCAAAAAAAAAAAAAAAAAAAAACACAUUACUUAAGAUCCACUUUAGGAUUACUUUUAAAAGGUUAAAAAGUGAUUUUUUUUAAAAAAUAAAAGUUAUUUUUAAUGUUUGGUAAAGUUUUUAGGAAUUAUUUUUUAGUAAAAUUAUCUUAUCUUAUAGUAGAUUUUAGAAAAUAGGGAAUGAGUAGCUUUUUAAAAUCUGCUUUUAAGAAUCAAUUUUAUGUUUAAUAUAAUCUCAUAUAUAUUAUAAAAAUCUAAAUUACCCUUAUUAAUUAAUAGAUAAAAUCAUUAACUUAGAAGAAAUUAAUAUUAUUACCAAUUAUAUUGUGAUAACAAAAUGAAAAAUAAAAUUUUUAAUAUAAAUAUUUAUUUUAGUUAUAAACUGUUAUAUAUAUACAAUAAAAUGGUCCUUUUUUUUACAGCUGAUUAAUUAUUUUAGAACUUAUAGCACUUACAAAUAAAUUUUAUUAAAUAUUUGAUAAAUUUUUUUUACAGCUGAUUAAUUAUACAACAUAAUUAAUAAUAAUUAUUUUAAAAAUUAUAUCAUUACUAAAACGGUCCUUAGUCACUUUACGAAGUGGAGACUUAUUGGAUUAUAUUUUUUUCGUAUUAUAUUAUCUGUACAUUUAUUCAAUAAAAAUGUCUUAGGCAUUUUUUCCUUUUUUAAAUUGAAAAUAGAAUAUACAUUAUAAAACACAGUAAGUUUUUCUUAAGUGACUCUCAUCUCCCAGCCCACGCCAAAAAAAUUAAUAAUAAAAAAUAAAUAAAAAAUAAAAAACCGAAUCUACCCAGUACGUUGGAUUUGGAGGGUUGCAGUAAAAUAAAUAAAUAAAUGGUCAAAUAUAUUUACAAUGUCAGAAGAUAAUGAUAACUGACAGGAUUUAUAAUUGUGAGAAAAGCGAAAGCAGGACAAUGCUACCCUACCAACUGAGUCUCUGUCUCACUCUCACCUCUGUCUAGUAACACCGCCACCACCGGCAGCCCGUUUUCAGUGGGUUAUAAAAAAGCACAAACGCUCACCGCCACCCAACUUCAUCAUUUUUGUUUUUUUCUAGUGUCCUUUAUCACAAUUACUUUUUAACCACAAUUAUUUCAUCAGAUGUAAAAAAACAUUAUUUCGUCAUCUGGAGAUGCCAUUGUUUGUUUGUUUGUUUGUUAAUAAUAAUAAAAACAAAACAAAUAGGUGUCAUGAUGUAUGCAAAAAAUAUGAGCGGUCCCUAUCGACAUUGCCAAAAGAAAGAUCGUGUGAAAGACGCGCCUCGCGAAUCGCAACACAACCCUGCGUGCUAACCUCAUGAUGUUUCUCAACUGAGACCAAAUAAAAAAAAAAAAAAAAAGGAAAAGAAUUAAUUCUGUAAAUAAUUAAAAAUAAAACUAAAAAGUAAAAUUGAUAACGUCGACGUUUUAAAUACGCCAAGAAUGCGCAUUAUACGGGUUCGUGGCAGGGUAGACUUUUUCCUACUUUUGGCUUUACCUCUACCUCUGUUUCAACUACCCGUUCUCGUAUUUAAUGCGCGCGCGCGCACACACAUAUAUAUAUAUAUAUAUAUGACGUCAUUAUUAUGACUUGAAUGGUUAAUUUAAUUGAGAAACUAAAUUAGUUAAUAGUAUCAUCUUAAAUAAAUUAUGCUGAAAUUGAAUUUCAAAGAGUUUUUCGUAUUAAAUAUAAUGAAUCCAUUGUAAUGUUUAAUAAUUUUUUAAUAUAAACAAAUAAAUAUCCCUGAAUCCAAGACAUGAGAGAGGGGGUCAGGUCAGUAGGGGUGGCACUACUGCUGCAACUCCUGCAGAACAACAGCGACAUUUGCGCGCGUCCUACGUGUCAGCUUUUGCCUCACACCUGUCGCUUUCUUUCCCCCCCUAGUCGUUGACUACACGCUGUUCAACACCACGCGCGUGACAUCACGCCUUUCCCUGGCAGCCAUCCACCCAAGCCUCCCACGUCCGCAUCCCCCUUUCCUAACGUAACUCCCAAACAAAAGUUCCGCUAACUCACACUUCAAAUUUACUAAAAUACGCCACAUUUAUCCAAUCAUAAUUAUUAUAUUAUGGGUGCAAAUGCAAAUCUUUUUAUUUAUUUAUUUAUUUUUUUAUUUUUUGGUCUAUUGAUUGAAUGAUUUCUCCACAAUAAUUAAUUAAAAGACUAAAUACAAAAGAAUGAAGAAAACAAACAUAUUUUUUUCUUUGAUUUUUUUUGUUGUUGGGUAUUUGGAUUUUUUGUCUAGGACAUGUUUACAUGAACGCUAACAGUCUUGGGGGAUUUACAAACGGGGCAAGUGUGCAGACUUGACCCGCAAACAGUACACAAACACAAAUGCCUGCAAGGUAACAGCAGUACACAUGACUCUUCCUUUCUGCAAUUUCUGCACAACCUGCUGCCACCGCUGUGACUGCUUCCAUUAUCACCAUCUUUAUGAUCACAAUUAUUAAUUUUCUUAUUACCAUUAUCUUCCCAACUGCUGCCGCAACAAGACUCUGCAUCAUCAACGACUUCUUCCUCCAACCCCAGCGCAGCCGGCGCCGGCGCACGUCCUUCCUUGACCUGCGCGGCGGCUGAGGCGAGAACUUGUUCUAGAUUCGUACGUAGAGCAUUGGCGGUGGCCUCGUUCGACUGAGCCAAGUCUCGCCAAAUUUGAUUCUCUAUGCACAAGGACUUCACUCGUUCUUCCAAAGCCCAAUUCAAUUUCCCAAUCUUUUCAAUUUCGUCCUCUUUGGCCUUCAGCUUCUUCAUCACGCCUUCCUCUAUUACGUCCAUUAUUAUCCUCACUUGCCUCUUCUUCCUCUCUUCAACCUCCAUCCUCACUUUCUCCAUCUAUAAAAAGAAUUAUAAUAAUAAUAUGAACCCAAUAUUAAUAACCGUACAAAAUAAUCAAGAAACGUGAAAAAAUGGAAACUUGCUUGUGUUUUGAUUACUUACAUGUUGGGAUAUGAGGCGAUCGAUGUCGAACUGUUGUUCUUGGAUCUGAAACGACAUGUCGUUUCCGAGAAAGGAGAAGGGAGUGGGGGUACUGCAAGAUUCUCUCGACCGUUUUCUCGACGGGGUCAGUGGGAGAUUGUUAUUUUCGUAGUUGUUGUAAGUGAGACUGCUGUCGGAUUUGUUGAUGAGCGGUUUUUGAUGAGGGAAUGAAUCUGAGUUGAUGGACGAUCCGUAAACGACGGUGGGAAGAAAAGCCUCCGCCGUCGUGGCGGUUCCCGAUAAUGGGAGGCGGCCGUAUCCUCCUGUUCCUCCCAUCUGGGUAUUGUAGAUAUUCGAGUUUGCUUCAAUGGGGUUCAUUAUUAUUUCCCUGCAAAAAUGGAAAGAGAAGUACGUAAAAUGCACACUCGGACACAAAACAAAUAAAAAAAUUCUAUAAGACACAGAACGAGAUGAUACACACCUGUUAGCUAAGAGUUGCGGAGGAAAGAUACUGUAUUGAUGCCGGGCUUCAACAGCCAUGAUUAUGGAAACGAAAGGGUUUAUUUCUUUUGGAUUGGUUUUGCUUCUUGCUUUGUUUCUUCUGGUUCUUGGCUUUGGUUUUGGUUUUGAAGGAGAGAACGAGAGAGAGAAAAUGAACAAAAUGGCAUGCAAUAGAGGUGACAAAGAUGUGAUGAUGGGUUUAUUUAGGGUUUGGUUUUGGCUUAAAGUGAGAAAUUAUUAAAAUAAUGAUAAUUUUUUAUUUUUUCAAAAAGGGAAAAUGUGAGAGAUUUUUUUUUUUUUUUGAGAAUGUGAGAGAUUUGGAUUGUUCUUGUUGGGUUUAAGUUGAUUGGUCUAUUUAAAGGAAUUUGGUUAAGUGCUUAAUUCAAGCGGAAUAAUAGGGGUAUUUCCGGGAUUUCAGUGCAUGUUUAUUAUUGUAAACUAUUGAGUUUUUUAAUUAGGGAUAAAAUAAGUUAUAACUGACAAGCAUGGCAUCUGCCACGUGUAACACCUGCCACGCAAGCAAACCUGUUUGUUUCCUUCUCAUUUUUUUGGCCCCUUUUUUCUGCUGGUCCUCAACAGCGUGAUGGUGUGGGGUCCACGACAAACACGUAUGGGACAGGGUAAAAGAUGAGGCCAAGAUAAAAAAGAAGGGGGCGAUGAAAACCGAUCCCUGUGACCACGUGCGAUGUGCCAUCGUGGCGUGGGUGGGCCCAUCUGAUAGAUUUCCAAUUUUUUUUAAUAAUUAAACAAUUAAUAAAAAAGAAGUAAGCGGCGGUUGGGGAAGGUACGGUGUACCAGGGGAUGGUCCUUUGGCAGUUUCCUCUUUUUUACUUUAUUUGAUUUGAAGUUGCUCCCUCGCAUGGGAAACGUUGGCUCUCUUUUGUCUCUUUCUGCUGCCACGUGGCUUCAUACCUCCCUUCUUAGUAUCGCAUUACAUCUCAAUAAUUUUCAACCGCUUGAUCCCACAUUCACAUUUUGAUGCGCAUAGCCAUAAAUGGACCCACCGAAGAUAUUGCGUUAACAUAAAGCUCAGCUUGGGUCCGACCAUGAAUACGUCUUGUGCACGUAGUUACUUUUGUUCGAGUAUUAAUAUAAGCAAUGGUUGGUGCUAAUAAUUAAAAUUUCUCAUUUUAUCAUAAAUUUGGAAAAAAAAAAGACGAUCAUAUUAUUAUUCGACUUCCAAUGAAUUAACAACUCAGACAAUAAAUUUACGGGUAAUUUGUAAUCUACUCCUAAAUAAAUUGAUAUUUUACAUAGGGUUCCCAAUAAAUUUGACUUGUUGCACUGCACACCCAAAAAAAUUGACAUUUUGCACCAUAUCCCCAAUUCCGUUAUUUUCUCAGUUAAGUUUAACGGUGGAGGGGUAAAAUUGGAAGUUUAUUCCUUAAAUUAAUUUUAAUGGGAAUUCUCUUUAUUGCAAUUAAAAUAAAAAUCUUUAAAAAUUAAAAGAAAAAUAAUAGUGGUGACAAUGUACAUGUAACAAGAAAUUUUUUUAUUACAAUUAAAAUAAAAAUCUUAAAAAAAUUAAAGGAAAAUAAUAGUGGUGACAAAUGUACAUGUAACAAUAAUUUUUUUUAUUAAAAUUGAAAUAAAAAUCUUUAAAAAAUUAAAGAAAAAAUAAUAGUGGUGACAAUGUACAUGUAACAAGAAUUUUUUUAUUGCAAUUGAAAUAAAAAUCUUUAAAAAAAUUAAAAGAAAAUAAUAGUGGUGACAAAUGUACAUGUAACAAGAAUUUUUUUUAUUAAAAUUGAAAAAAAAAUCUUUAAAAAAUUAAAGGAAAAAUAAUAGUGGUGACAAUGAACAUGUAAGAAGAAUUGUUUUUUUAUUGCAAUUGAAAAAAAACCUUAAAAAAUUAAAUGAGCUAAAAAUUUUGUUUUUUUACAUAGAGGGGCAUUUUUGUCAUUCAAUCAAAAGUUAGACGGAGCAGUUAGAAAUAAUUGAAAAAUUAACGGAAUUGGGGGCGUAAUGCAAAAUGUCAAUUUUUUUGGGUGCGUGGUGCAACAAGUUAAAUUUGUUGAGGACGCGGUGCAAAAUGUCAAUUUAUUUGGGGGUAGGUUACAAAUUUCCCUAAAUUUACUAUAGUUAAAAUUUAUACAUAAUGAAUUAUAUUUAUAAUUCGUGACCUACUUAUUGAAUCGUAUCAUAUCAUAUCAUAUACUAAGGAUAUUAUGUUUUGGCAUAUGUAGUAAAAUAUUGGGUUGCGAAGAUAAAUAUUCAAGAUACCCGUUAUUGAUGCUUAUUCAUCAUACAAACAAAGAAACAUCUCAAAACUGGGGCAAUUUUUUUUUUUUUACCAAUUAUCGUUUUGAUGGCCUCCGGUAUUGACCGUCCAGCUAAAAAGAAAGCAUUCUUGUGUUUCAAUCUUUACUUGCUACAAAACAAAUUCUAUGAAAUUAUUGAUCAUUGACCACCCACAUACAUAAGUAUUAGUUAAUGCCACCAACAAUUCUUUUUCUCUUCCUUGUCGUCUGUAUUUCCCAAUUGGCUGUUGGUCAUAAUACAGCAAAAAAUUUAUGCUCCCAGUUUCUACUCUCAUGCAUGACAUAAUUGAUUACACUACUUGCAUAAGUUGCGUUCUAGAAACUCUCGAAAGUUACUAUUUGAGUUAAUUUUUAUUAUUUUUCUUUAAUUAUUCUAUUAAUAUGUGUUUUAAUUGAUUGCUUUUUAUUUUUUGAAUAUAUUUUUAAAUUAGUUACAAUAAACAGAUAUCACAAUUUAAAAUUUGUUAAAAAUCUAGAUAAACAUACAUUCUAGAUGGUCUACCAAGAUUGGCUUGAAAUUAUUUAUACUCAUACCAAAAUUUGGGGAGAAAAUACCCAAAACUUAGUGGGGACUGCUUUUGAAUUUUGAUACAAAGAUUAAAAAUGCUUUUCUAAAUUUCAAUUAAUUUGCUGACUUCUCCAUAUUAUUUUUUGGCUCAAUGUCGACAUUCAAGGCCUUAAUUAUAGCUAGCGGCUCAAUCUCCCAAUUCACACAAUAUCUUUUGACCUAAUCCCAAUCUGACAAUCCAAUCAAUCGCAACUAAUUACUGUAUAUUCCUUCAAAUUCAACAAGUCAUUCAUUAACUGUCAUUAAUGAAAACUUAUCCUCAAAGUCCUUGGCCCUUUUUUUUUUUUUUUUGGUGAUAAAUGAUAUAACUUUAUUAAAAAAAAUCAAAAUAAGAUGAUUAUUUAAAAAGAAAAAAGGAUACAUAGAAGCAGCUAGAAAAAAAAAACUCCGACAUAAACAAACAAUACUUGAGCGCACAAAUAAAUAUUUCUUAAUAUUAUUGGUUAGAUUCACUUAGUGAAAUUCGCACAUUUUUAAUCCAAAUUAACUAGAUUAUCCAUAAUUUGAACUCCCUUAUCUAUAAGUGUGAGAUUACAUACAACGUUUGCAUGAAAUAUUAUUACGAAAACAUUUAUUUGUAGGAGAUUUUCGACCCCAAUAAUGUUGAUCUCUCUUCAAAACAUCGGAGGCGAUUAGUAAUUUAUUAUCAAUAUUUUUUUUUCCUACUUUUUAAUCGAGCCCGCACCACAUUCUAAUUUACUAAGGAACAAGACAUGGCCAUGCGCUACUUUCAUGGAAACAUGUGCAACUAAGUUUCACUUUAAAAUAGUGAUGCUCGAGAGACAAUGUCAUGUUCAUUUUCCAAAUUUUAAUCACAACCCAUUCAAUCAGAUAAUUAAAUAAUUAUGUUUUCGAUGCCAUCUCCUCUUCAAUAAAACUCACCCAAUUUUUUAGGCGAUUUCAUCUGCCAAUACUAGCGGAAUAUUAGACAUUUGAGCUGCAUUUAAGGAGGCAAGGUGACAAAGAGAUCAGUCCAAUUUGAUUAGAAUACAAAGCAACUUCAAUUGACAAUUACAGCUACCAAUUAAGUUAUUUUUAAAUAUUCUUCAUCUCGCAGCAUUAGAUUGCGUUUUUACUAACAAAUUGGUGCAAAAUAUUGCUUAAAAUAAAACUUUUUAACUCUUAAAAUCAUGCAUCCACAUGGCCAAGACUCAAGAGCCAAGUUUACAAAAUUUAUCAAUGAAAUAUAAAUUUAUACAAGAUUGUGCGGCCGGCCGUACGAGCACAAGGUGGCAACCGGCAAGGGCAAUGAAAUGACACCGUUGCUUGUCUUCUCUCAUUCUCCAUUUCUCAAUUCUCCCGAAUCAAAUAGAAAAUUUUCAAUAAAGCCACAACUUCACAAAUAAUGCAAUAAAAGGGUAAACGUUAUAAAGGGUUUCCCAUUCCCAUCUUAUCCAUCUUUAAAUAUUUCUUCACCAAUCCUCUUUGUGAGUCUUUCUAACUAAGAUAGCAUUUGGCUUUUUAGUCUCAAAUACGAGUAAGUAUAAAUUAAUCUGAAUUCUAAAUAAUAACUUAACUGAUUAAAAUUAAAUUAAUUAAACUAUUUGGUUAGAAAAAUUAAUGGUCCCUAAGAAAAUGAGAAAAAGUUGUAUAGAUUUUCACUAAGCCUAAAUAAAUAAAUAUACAAUUAAUUGAGUUAUUAUUUUUUUUAAAAGUUUAAACUGUACAAUUCAUUAGAGUGCUAUUGAUAAGUGAUUUAGAAGUCUGUCAAGACUUAUCUUGAUUUAUCAUAAUUGAAUUUGAAGGUAAGUUAAAAAAAAAUUAUGUGCUAUCGUAUCAAGUCCAAUGAGACUUAUCUCAAUGUAUCAUAAUUGAAACUCAAUUAAAAAAAAAAACUCGAUGUAUUAUAAUUGAAACUCAAUAAGAAAAAAAAUCUACUCUCUCAUAGAAGCUAGAGAAAUUUUGUUCUUACAAUUUAGAGCUUAUAGCCUCAAUAAUGAGGUAAGAAUGCGCCAACUGUCAUUUAGAUUUUUUUUUAUCCUUUUAGCUAUAAUCGGUUUUAACUUUUAACCUAAACCAUGACAAUCAUUUUUCAGAUAUGCUUUUAUAGAGCACAUCAUACCGGAGCUAUAAAUUAUCAUUCUUUAAUGUAAGGUGAAGUUGCAUGACAACAUUAUCGUGAACCUUCAUAAUGAAACUAGAGAAAAAAUAGAGGUUAGAUGAAAAGUAGAUAAGAGAGGGGAUUCCCAAUUCACCUUUCGUCUUCACCUAUAUGUAUAUAUAUAUAUAUAUAUAUCUUUUUCAUUCAAGCUCUAUUAUUGCUCUCUCAUAUCCAACACACACUUUAGUUUAACCACCACCGAAAUCAACAAAAAAGGCAAAGUGAAACAAAAAGGUGCAUGAUAAACAAAAGAGAGAACAUUAUAGAUAUUUGAUUACUUUUUUUAGAGUAAAAAGAAAGAUACUGCUAAAUUGGACGGCUACGAUUGAUCGGAUCUAUGUUGUCAUGAUAACUCAAGACAGUACAACUAUUUCCAAAAGAAUAUAAUGUGUUUGUUCUUCCCCUACUUGAAGGGCAAUUGCAUUGCCCCCUUUUUCUUUUUUGUUUUUCAGUUAUUGCAAUGUUGACUUAAGGUGGAGUUGCCUUUUCUUUUUUCUUUUUAAUUUUAUUUUUUAAAACUUUCAUUCCCCCUAAAGUUGUAUUUUUGAUUCUACAUGCAUGAACAUGUGAGAUACCCACACCUGGCUCUUACUUAGUCAGAAGAAUCUGAAAGUAAAAAUCAACAAUUACAAUUUCUCUCUCACCCACUUUUUCUUUUUGGGAUCGAAUCUCAUUCAUCACCGCUACCUCCACAAACGUAUAAAACCCACUUUUGAAUUUGUCACCUUAGUCAGAAAUGUAUAAUUUUUGUAACCCUAAAUGUAAAAAUUGUAGUAAAUAUAGCAAAAUUUGAGUCUUAUUAUAAUGCGACAUUUUUUUUUUGUAUUUUGAUCACAAAAUUUUUUUAUCAUUGACAAUAUAUAUAUAUUUUUAAAUUAUAAGUUGUAAAUAUCUUAUAACAGACAAUAUUUUCACGACUUAUAAUAGAUGCCACAACAUAAUCAUGUCUAGAUAUUGAAUAUUGUAGCACCCAUCUCGAAGCAAAUCUUGGUGGAGAUAUGUUGCAAUGAAUGAACAAGGUUCCUCGCAAGAAAGCAACAAUGAAAGACCAAUUUUCUUUUUUAAAUUGUUAAUUUAAUUGAGGGGGGGCAUAAAGUUGGUUGUGAGUUGUGACAACUUACUGUAAAUGUAACGUUUGCUGCAACUAGGGACUGGGUCAGUUGAGCUAUCAUUAUUUCUUGUAUUGGAAACAUACCUUGCUUGUGCUGUGGAUUCUUUAAAUGUUUAAAGAAGAACUAAUAAUAAAUAAUAAAUAAUAAAUAAGAAAUAAGAAAUAAUAACAAUAAAAAUUUUAUACAAAAGAGGUUGGCUUUUAUUUAUUGUAUGCUUGCUUAUCUGCCAGAAAUUUGACCGUUAGCUGAGCUGACAAAGACUGCAUUGAUAUUUGAAAUCAUGGGUGUUGUGGGGUCAAUUAAGAAAAAAGUCUGGGGGGUACAUCAUACUUCAUACUUGUUCAUUUAAGAACACGAUUCUCUAUUUCUUUAUUCACUACUGUGGUUGUCUUGUGCAUUUAUGAUUUUAUAUCUAUUAUUCAAUUCAUUAUUAUUCACAGAAAUCUUUCAAAAGUAAAAAAAAAAAAAACAAUAUUAGAAAAAGAAUGUGACUUCACUUUCAAAGGUGCAUUUACGUGAAAAUUGCAACGGGUAUGGAAAUUUCAAGAAGAAAAAGAAGUAUAGCCGUGGCUGAGGCUGUGGCCGUGGCUGUGAGUUUGAUGAAUAAAUGACACAUUUUCCAACGAAGGCUUGAUUUGUCUGUCAGUCUUUUGAUUCUUGAUGUUUCCAUGUGCAAUGUGCAAGUCCACACUUGUCCCAUUUCUGCAUGUGUCGUUUCACUUUCACUUCCCAAAUGUGGUUUCUAGACAGGUCUCGGAGCUCUGCCCAAUCGCAUCAUUGAUUAAAAAACAGAAUAAGGUCCCCUCGCCCGCAUCGUUUAUUGUCAAAAUAACUUUGUUUGCCAUUAACAUAUUAUCUAUGGCAACUGCUACGUUAAGUUGAGUAUAACAUACACAUAUUUACAGUAACAAUAUUAAUGAUGAAACUUAUUAUUGUUACUAUGAGUGUAUAAAUGUUACACUCAACGUAACAUAAGAUGACCCAUUAUCUAUACAUAUUUACAAUUUAUGAUCUUACUGAGAAUAUGAGACUAUACGUAUCAAAUUAUGUAGUACAAAAUAUUUAGUCAGCAUAAUUUAAAAAUCUAUAGUUACUUACACAUUUUAAAAAUAUAUCAAUUUUUUCUAGUGAGGACAUCAAUUCACCACGAAAGUGGCCAAAUGCUUAGGAGGCGUUCAAAUUAGUUUUAUUACUUUUUACAUUCUUGAAUAUGAUCAUAGUUAUAAUAUAUUAUGAUAUGAUUCACUAUUACUGUAAAUAAUUUGUAUAGAUGACAAGAAUAAUACUAAUGAUGCACAUAAAAAAUUCCAAAUGUAAUCUUCCAUGUUAUAUAAUAUAUAUACUAAAUUAUAAGCUGUUUUCGAAAUUUUGACACCCAACAACGAAAAAAAAAAUCAUACACACCUCAAUUAAUAAAUUAAAAUCAAUUAUCUUAACAAUAGCUAGCGGUACCUCAUGUAAGUAAAGGUUCAAGUCCCCAUGUGCAUUUGAGAAUUUUUUUUUGUCUUUUUCCAACUAAAACCUACCGGUUCUGGGUAGAGGCGAGUGUUCGGUCCAAGUUAAACCAAACCGAAUAGAGCUUGAAAUUUUAUUUCGGUUCAAUUUGACCCUAGAAACCGAAUUGGUUGAAAAUUAGAAACUGAUCGGUUUUGGUCCGGUUCGGAUUAAAUCUGAAUCAAACAAUCAAACUCAAUCGUGGUUACAUUUAAAAAUUCGAAAAAAAAAAAAAACGAAUCCCCUCAAAUCUCAACCUUCAUUCCCUCAAUUGCAACUCAAACCGAAUUCUAACUGGAACCAAAAUUUGAACCUAUUCGGGUUCAAUUCUCAAAAUCCGAAUUGAAACCUGUAAGAACCGGAUCAAAAUCCAAAACGCCCACUCCCGGCUCUAGGCUCAAGCAAUUAGGCUACACCGUAAUAAAGAUAUGAUCCUGAUAGAUUUAUGAGUAAAUAUCAGUAAACUCAAAAGUAAUACUUCAGAAAAACAGCAACUAAUGAUACCUCGUACUAUUGUUUGAAUUCAAAGCAAGAUGGCAAAUAAUUUGGAAGAUAUAUACAAGAUUACACUCCCUGACAUAAAUUUUGGCCCAAGAUUUUCAUUCCUUCUCUGCACAACACAAAAAAUCAAAAUCCAGAGAUUCUCUCCAAAUUAAUUUCAUAAAUAGGAUUUAAAGUUCAAUAUUCUGUCAUUGGACCACAGUCCCAUGGGCCUAACACUAUAGAUUUGGGUUACUUUCAGUAGUUGCCUCUAGAUCUGGGAUAAGUAGAGUUUCAACAACCUGAUACAGCAAGAAAAAGAACUACUGCUUCAUUAGCCAAGCAAUUUGAGAAAUUAAUUUGACAAUCUUAUUAAGUGAAAACUAGCAUCCAACUAAUAGGCAUAUUCAUACAAAAACCUCCACAAAGCAUCCAUCAGAACUGCCAAGAAACACCAAACAAAAACGACUAGUAAAAAGCCUCAAACUAUGAUCACAAUGAGCCCCUAUAGCAAACCAACCAUCCGAAAACAUAACAAUCAGUCAUCAUAAAAAUCAAUAACUCAUCAUGAACUCGUAAUAAAACCAUCUUGCUUGAACAAGUUGGCAAAUGAGCUUAUAUAAAUUAUAAAAUUGGUCUGAAUUGGUUUGGUUCCAGUUACAACCCAAGCAUUAACUUUCCUCCAUGUAGAUUGCUAUAAAUAGCAUAAACAUUUGAAACAGAACACAAUGGAAUUGAUUAUAAAAUGACACAAACAUGUAGUACGAUAUUUUAACAUUAUGCAUUACAUCUCGUCCUGCUAUAAAUAUCAUAAACACUUAAAACAGAACACAAUGGAAUUGAUUAUAAAAUGACACAAACAUGUAGUACGAUAUUUUAACAUUAUGCAUUACAUCUUGUCAGCUAAAACCAUUAUCUUUCUCACAGGAUACCGAACAAAGCCCCAGAUUUGAUACCUCACAACAUAUCUUCACCGCUACCAAUGCAAUAUGCUCUUAAGAAAGCUUACAAAUCAUCAAUAAAGGCACCAUGCAUUCCCCCAACUUGUCCGGUAGCAGAAGAGAGCAAUGAACUGCAAGGAAAUAUGACCAGAAAUAGAAAAAGAUAUGGAACACCACCCAAUCUUAAGAGACCCAAGAUUUGGGAUGUCAAAAUCCGGUCCGGGUCUGACCUUCCCGGUUCCGGACCCACACAAUAAUUUAUUAUACCGGACCCAGGUAUAAACAUGAAUUUUUAACUCUAGGUCCGGUCCGAGUUCAACUCGAAAAAAUCUGGAUUCCUAGAUUGCAAGUUUUAAAUUCGGAUUUUUUUUUUGAAAAAUUAAUAUGAAUUAUAAGCUUCAGCAAGUUGCAUCCUAGUAAAACAAAUAAAAUGGAAAGACCGGACAAGUCCAUUAAAUCAACUAUCAUACCAGACUUCAAGUAGCUAAACGCCCUUCUUAAAAUAGUAAGGAAAACCAGUCGCAAGUACUGACUAAUAACAAUUUAAACUUCCCAUUCUUGAAUGACCCACAAUGCCUCAAUAACCUCAGUACCAUCUGCCACUACCCCUGAGAAAAAACUGGAGCAAUCCUACAUUCAUACUGUGGUUCAAGUUCAACAAGCCCAAAAAUGUUAGACAUGCUGAGAGCAGCCAGCAUAUCCAAGGUUUCCUUGUCAAUCCUAAUUUCAUUAGUCUAAAUAGCUGAUUCAUCGGGUACAAAGUCCACGUGGCAUUCACAACCCAUCUCAGAUUAAGCUGCUGUCCUGAAGAAGAGAAAGACGGUGAAGCAGAGGAGCUUGAGAUGUCUAGAGGUUGCUGCAGCUAGUGUGAUUAGAGGAGGCAGCUGCCUUGAUGAUGGGAGAUGAGGAAGAUUAGAAGAUGUGGCUGGGGUGAUUUGUGAGCCUGUGAGGCUUAGAUUUUUAGGAUUGCCUUUGUUUUUUCUAACUUUUUGCUUUUAUAUUUAUAAUUAUAAUUAAAAAUUAUUUAUUUAAAAAAAUAAAAAAUGCUGUAAUCCAGGUCCGGUUUCCGGAAGUCCGGGUUUAGAUGAACCCGGAUACGUCCAGUUGAGAAAAAUGUUUCUGGAUCCUGAAUAUUUUAUACAUCCGGAUCAACUGGCUUUGGAUAGGUCUGGGUUUGUUUCCAUCCCUAUCCAAGAUAACAGACUCAAGUAUAUUGAACUACAAUAUUAUUAAAGUGCCAAAAACAUAUCAAUAUUAAUUAAAAACAGAACUUAAUAUUAUUAAAGUGCCAAAAACAUAUCAAUAUUAAUUAAAAACAGAACUUAAAAAUUGAAGAAUAACUUGAGAGACAGAACAAAGCUUAAAGAUUGAUGAGGGCAGAGAUCUUGAAUCAGUGAUGGACAGAGAGCUUCAAUUAGGCUUUUCAAGAAAGGGGAUGAGAAUUAAGAGAGUGCAAGGGAGGAGAUCUGAACAAGAGAGAGAAAAACCUGUGUUUAUAGAUUUUCUUCCAACAAACUUGGAUUUUCCAAAUAUAAUUGCACAGACAAUGAGUCACUACUCAUGGACUUGAUAGGGGUUAUUAAUGGAGGUUGCUGCCAUUGUUUAGUAUCUGUAGGAAUCCAUAAUUCAGCAUCCUUGCUUGUAUUAACCUGAGGAAGUGAACAGAAAUAAGCUGUAAUCUCCCACCUGCAACCUGUUAAACAGUAAAAAGUUACUAACCAGUUCCAUUCUCUAGCAAGAUAGAAUAUGUACACACAUGUAUGCCCACCUGCCUGCACAAUACUGAACGAGGAUAAGAAAAUGUGAUAUGAGAAAGAAAGGUAGUAAACACCAAAAAUUGGAUCAGAAUAGUAACCGUGGAAGAAUUUGAUUAAGCCAAACAAACAAUUUUGGGGCCAAAUUCACACCGGUUGAAAUAAAUAAACAAAACAUCAAGCAUAUCAUCGUUUAUAACAAUUACCUUGUGGAAGAACCUUAGAGAGGGACUUUGAGACUGAAAGUUUGAUCAAGAAUGAUCUAAGUGAGAACUCCAGAUGACCUUCUUCCACCAUUGAGCCAUAAGACUGGUUAACCAUAAUUUUGAAAACAUAUCUCUCCAAAGGGACAUUGUUGGCAUUGGAGAAAAUAACUGCGACUCUUUCCACCAGCCCCUAUUUUGUAGAGAUAUGAAAAUCUCAUUAAAUUUUACAGCACACAAUUUUGUAUCACUACACGAUAAGAAAGCGUUUGCAUAUCAAAGAUAAGAACAAGUAUGCCUCUUAAGUACAGUUAAAUUUAUCUUCCGACAGUAAACCUUAAAAUAAUUGAUGUUCUAAAAUAAAUAUGAAGACCUUUACAGAGGCUUGAUAGAGGUAUAAAUGAUUUGAACAGAUUCUAUUGAUGACCAUAGCAAAUGGGCUCCACUAUAAAUAUUUCAUUACACAUUUGUAGAGUCUUAUGAUAAGUUCUAUCUUCUACCCAGAUGUUCUAAGAGAAAAUCUUGUUAUUAACAUCUUGACUUACCAUUUAAAGCUUGUUUAGUUUGUGAUUCUUAAGUGGGAGUUGAUGGAAUGUACAGAAGACGCCUGAAAUAUCAUUCACUUUCACAUGUUCCACCUAAUCCCUCUAUUUUCCACAUGCAUCACAAUAAGAUACAAAUUGGCCACAAUCUGCAAAAAUAGAAGAGAAGCUGAUUGGCAUUGUCAUUUGCUAGGGCCAGCAUGUUAAAUAUUAAUAGCACAAGUCAAAAAGUUUCCGGAACCCAUAUAUCGACUAUGAAGAAGGUAACCAGCAACGGAGUAAUGAUCUAGUGAGCAAUAGUGCCCUUAUAAUGAUGAGCGACACUGGCACGUGGCGCUGUCUGAUUAAUUUACAACGUCAAUACUAUUCACAUGUAGUCACAGACUUGUGCCACGUGUCCAGUUAGUUGCUCAGCAUAUGGUGGGUAAUGGUGCUUUCAUCAACAACAAUACAACUUAAAAGAUAAAAAGAGGCAAACCUUUUGAAUGAAAAGGAGGAGGCUACUAACAGAAGAAUGAAUGUAGUCUCUGAGCUGGGGGUGACGAGCCCUCUGAACAACCAAAUUCAUAUAUCUCCUCCUCUCAAAAGCACCUAAUAAUUUUUGCAUUACACAUUUACACCCAAAAAAUAACUUAAACUUCUAAAUUCUGUUUUGGCAUUAAAAAUAAAUUCAAAUUAUGAUAGGCAGGUAAAUAAGAGAAAUUAGUAAUACUAAAAGUACCAGAAGGGUAAAGUCCUUUGAGGAAAACAACUGAAGUGAUUGCAACUUCCAAGAAUUCCGCCAGAAUUCGAGCUGUCUCAACUGUUCAAAAUUUAAAUCACUUAUUUAUUAAAUUCGAUUUUUUUAAUUAAAAAAAAAAAGAGAGAGAAACUAAACCUUGAGGAGACUGAGCGUCGCUACGAUCCAUUAUCGUUUUCACUCGUUAGUUGUUUCUGCCUCUUUGAUUGAUAGUCAAUUUGGCUCUCAUACUUUCACUUUGCUCCUAAUUCAGAAACGAGGGUUUUGGGAUGAUGGUUUCAGAGGAGCCCAUAAACUGUUACACUGUGGCUCUAGCAGCAGGGAUGGCAGGAUAACCCGGACGGGCCCGGAUUCGCAUGAACCCGGAUGAUCGGAUGUAUAUUUUAUCCGAAAUCCGGAUUUAUUUUUUUUAAAGCUGGACUGAUCCGGAUCCAGUUUUGGGUUCACCUGAAUCCGGAUUUCUGGAACCCGGACCCGGAUUAUUUUAUUUUAAAUAUUAUUUAAUUAAUUUUUUAAAUUGUUAUUUAUAAGUAUAAAAGCAAAAAAAAUGAGAAAACAAACCCUACAUUUCCUUUAGUUCACCUUAUGUUCAUUCUCCAAAAUUCAGCAAAUGAAUUCAAAAUCAUCAUCGCCCCGAUUCAUCAUCAUCCAUCAAUCAUCAACAAUACAACAUCGCCGCCCGGUUCAUCAUCAUCCAUCAAUCAUCAGCAUCACAACAUCGCCACGGUGGCCUCACUUCCCUAAAAGUUUCAAUUUCUACCUUAUGUGUUAAAAUUAGAUUUCUCCUGCGAUUUGAGCUCAAGGAAUCAUGUGGCUUUCUAUGGAAUCAUGUGCUUUCUAUGGAAUUAUGUGGCUUCUUUUUGGUUAAUUUAAUUUUCUCAUCUUCCUCAUCCUCCACUAUCUUCGUAAGAUCCCAUGAGGAUCUAUUUGUUUCUGCAACUACCAAAGAGCCAAAAGUGGCCUGCUUGAUUUUGUUUUUUAAUUUCAGGCCUUCAAUACAUAUAUUUGGGUUUAAAACCCGUAAUCCGAAAACCCAGAUUUUUUGGGUUCAACCCAGACCGAACCCGUAGCUAAAAAAUCUAGGUUUAUAUGCAGGUUCGGUAGUAUUGUCAUCCAGGACCGAAAUGGGAAAGACCAAACCCGGACCCAGAUCUGGAUUUUGCCAUCCCUACUCUAGCUCCCUCCAAAUUUGCGCAAAUUUACUUCAGUGGCACCUCUAAAUUACAUUGCUAUCCUUUGAAUUUGUUUUAAAUUACACCAUCGGGGCAGGUGUGGAUUCAGAGGAAUCACAUGUUUAAUCUUGCACCCAGAUGUGCAAGGGGUUUUAAAAUUGGGUAUUAACUAAAUAUUCAAUUGUGAUAGAAAAAUUAAAUAUUUAAUUAAAAUAAAGUACAUAAAGAAAAAUUUAGAAAAAAAAUAGAACUGUUGUGGAUUAUAUGUGGAUUUCCACAUUUUCAAGUGUGUGUGUAAUAAUGAUGUCUUCCAUCACUUCAUGUAAUGGCAAAUGACACAUCCUCAUUAUAUUUACACUAUAUAAAUGAAUAAGAGAUAAAAGUCAUAUAUGCUUUGACGAUUAUUCCUUUCUUAUUAUCUUCUCUCUCUCUCUCAUGUUUUUCUUUGUAUUCACAUGCUAAUUCUGUCAAUUUCUCCUUUUAUUGCAUCACUUCUAAGCUAAAAAUCAUCUGCCUAUAUUCAUAUUAAUGAGGUUUAUAAUCUAUAAAACUAUUAACAAAGUUCCUAAUUUAUAAUACGUUAUCAGCACGAAUUUCGCUCUGAUACAUAAAGUAUUCUAUCUAUUUACUCUUUUAUUUUCUACAUACUCCUAAGUAAAGCUUAUUAUUUACACUCUUUUCAAUAUUUAUUGUACUAAUCUUUAUUUAUUUGUUUGUGAUAAUGUCUUACUUGACAAAAUUGGAGUUUAACGCCUUGAAUAUAUCUAGGGAGAAUUAUUUAUCCUAGAUCCUAGAUAAGGAAAUUCAUCUUGAUGUUGUGGGCCUUAGUAACAUGAUAAAAAAUAAUAAUGACUCAUCCACUCAGGAUCGAGCCAAGGCUAUGAUUUUUCUACGACAUCAUCUCCACUAAGCACUUAAAAUGGAAUAUCUCACUAUAAAGGAUCCAUAUGUCCUGUGGAAUAAUUUGUAUGAAAGAUAUUGUCAUUUAAAGUCAAUCAUUCUUCCCAAUGCUUGUAGUGAAUGGAAUGUCCUCAGGCUACAAGACUUUAAGUCAGUACAUGAAUAGAAUUCUGCAUUGUACAAAAUUACUUCAUAGUUAAAAUUGUGUGGAGAAAAUAUUACUGAUGAGGAUAUGUUGGAAAAAACAUUUACAACAUUUCAUGCUUCCAACAUGGUUCUACAACAACAAUAUAGAGUUCGUUAGUAUACAAAAUAUUUUAACUUUAUUGCAUGCCUUCUUGUGGCAGAGAAGAAUAAUGAAUUAUUAAUGAAAAAUCAUCAAGCCCAUCAUACUGGUACAAAAUCAGUUUUUGAAGCAAAUACUGUCUCACAUGAUUGUGAAGACAAUUAUGAAAUGGGCGUGGCCGUAGGCAUAACCGUGGCCGUAGACAUAGUCGUGGCUGUGAUCAUGACUAUUAUCGAGGUCAAUGAUAUAAUAAAAAUCAUUAUUAUCGACCUUGUGGUGGUUAUAAGAACCAUAAAAAUAAGAAAAAUGAGGGGGGAACAUCUGCCCAACAUGAUAUUUAAGAAAGCACUCGUGAUAGAUGUGGAAUGUCUGGCCAUUUUUAAGACAAUGUCGUACUCCCAGACAUCGUGUGGAUAUGUUUCAGACAUCCUUAAAGUCAAAAGGAAAGAAUGUUGAAACAAACUAUAUUGAUGACUCGGAUCCAGUGGAUGUUACACAUCUUGAUGUUUCUAACUUCUUUGAAAAUAAAGAUUGAAAAAUUGAUCACUUGAUCUGUGAUGGAAAUGUUUAUCACAUUUAAAAAUUCUACUUGUGUUUUAUGUUUGUUUAUGUAAUUUUUAUUUUUCAUGUUAUCUAAUAUGUAUUUCCCUUUUUACCUUUGUUUAAGGAUAUAAAUUUCAAUAAAAUGUUUAAUGGAGAAAUAUGUUCGGCUGAUAAUGCAACUACACAUACGAUUUUUCAAACAAGAGGUAUUUUUUAAAUUUAAAUAUGAUUAAAGCCAAUGUGAAUACAAUAUAAAGUCCAGUAGAUCUUAUUAAAGGUAUUGGAAGAGCAAUGAUCAUAUUAGCAAAAGGUACGAAAUUGGAUAUUCAUAAUGCUCUGUAUUCACCUAAAUAAAAAAAAAUUUACUUGGUUUUAAAGACACUCGUCGUAAUAAUUUUUAAAUAGAAAUAAUGAAUGAGAAUAAUGUAAAAUAUUUAUACAUUACUUCUAACAUGUCUAGAAAGAAAGAGAUAUUAGAAAAACUUCCAGCUUUCUCAUAUAACUUAUAUUAUACGAUGAUAAAAUUAAUAGAAAGUUACGCAAUCAUAAAAGAUAAGUUAUAUCAUCCAAAAUCUUUUAUACUUUGGCAUAACCGCAUCAGUCACCUUGGAUCAACAAUGAUACGUAUAAUUAUUGAAAAUUCUCAUGGACAUCCAUUCAAAGAUUUGAAAAUUUUAUUGUCAAGUGAGAAUAGUUGCACUGCUUGUUCACAAAGAAAAUUGGUAGUUAGACCAUCACCUAGUAAAAUUAAUUUUGAAUCUCCAUCAUUUUUACAAAGGAUUCAAGAAGAUAUCUGUGGACUUAUUCACCCACAAAGUGGUCCAUUUCGUUAUUUUAUUAUUUUAAUUGAUGCAUCUACACGGUGGUCACAUGUUUGUUUAUUAUCUACACGUAAUAUUGCAUUUGCAAGAUUGCUUGCACAGAUAAUUAGGUUACGUGCACAAUUUUUAGAUUAUCUAAUCAAGACCAUACGUCUAGAUAAUGCUGGUGAGUUUACUUUUAAAAUAUUUAAUAAUUAUUGCAUGACAAUUGGGAUUGAUAUAGAACACCUAAUACCAUAUGUACAUACUCAGAAUGAAUUAUCAGAAUCUCUCAUUAAAUGUUUACAGGUAAUUGCCAGAACUUUAUUAUUACAAAGUUAAUUACCUAUUUCGACAUGAGGGCAUGCGAUUUUGCAUGCUGCGGCAUUGAUCCGCUUAAGGCCUACUACAUAUCAUAAAUAUUUCCCAUUGUAAUUGGUAUUGAGAAAUUAACCAGAUAUAUCUCAUUUACGCACAUUUAGCUGCGCAGUACAAGUGCCGAUUGCACCCUCACAAUGCACCAAAAUGGUACCUCAACAUCGAUUGGAAAUAUAUGUGGGAUUUGGCUCACCAUUUAUUAUCAUAUAUCUUGAACCCAUUGACAGGUGAUGUAUUUACCACAAGAUUUACGAAUUUUCAUUUUGAUGAGACAAAAUUUCCUCCAUUGAGAGAAAGAAAAAAUAUCUAUGAGAUUAGGCAUGAUCCUCAGUGGAAGGUGACUCAUCUGUCUCAUUUAGAUCCAUGCAUAUCUCAGAGUGAAAAUGAAGUGCGUAGAAUGGUUCAUUUGCAGCAAAUUACAGAACAAUUAUCAGAUUCAUUUACAGAUACGAAAAAAGUAACCAAAUCAUAUAUACCAACUGCUAAUAUACUCGGCCGAGUCAUUGUACCUAAAGAACAAUUAAUGAAAAGUGCAGCUGAUGAAUUGUCUAUGGCACGCCAGAAGCGUAGUAGACCAAUUAGUUCAAAAGAUAGUAUUCUAAGAAAAAGAAAAAUGAUUAAAUAGGGUUUUGCUGCAAAUGAUGACAAAAAUAUAAAAGAACAAAUUGUUUCAGAAGAGCAAAUAGUCUAUGAAAAGACCAAAAACCUUGACAAUAUACAAACUCUUCAUGAGUAACAAAGCUUUAAAAAGGCACUUGAAUCCAAAAAUAGUGAGAUUUCUCCUUAGGGUAAUAUUUUGAAAAGACGAUUGAUCAUUAAUAAGACCAAAUACCUUGAAGGAUCUCUUGAAGAGGCAUAUGCCCAAGAUAUGGCUCAAGCCCUUGAACUGGCUAGAGAUAAAGAAAUUAUCAUUAAUGAUGUGUUUACGUUUAUAGUAGUUACUGACAUUGUAAAUGAUCAUAGUCCGCAAACCAUUGAGGCAUGAUUGGCUUAAAUGGAAAGAAGCAAUCGAGGCAUAAUUGACUUCUUUAGCCAAGCAUAAAGUAUUCGGACCUAUAGUCCAAACGCCUAACGAUGUCAAACAUGUUGGGUACAAAUGGGUAUUUAUACAGAAACGUAAUGAAAAUGAUGAAGUCAUAAGAUAUAAAACACGACUUGUUGCACAACAAAGACCCAAUAUUAAUUAUAAUGAGACAUACUCUUCGGUAAUGUGUGCAAUUACGUUUCAAUUUUAAUUGGUUUAGCUAUAUUAGAAAAUCUUGAUAUGCGUCUCAUGGAUGUGGUGGUAGCUUAUUCAUAUGGGCCACUUGACACCAAUAUAUAUAUAUAUGAAAAUCUCUGAAGAAUUUAAAAUAUCAUAAUCUUGUCAAUCCUCACAUCGUAGCUUGUAUUCAAUAAAGCUACAAGAAUCUUUAUAUGGAUUAAAAAAAUCUGGACGCGUGUGGUAUAAUCGCUUCAGUAAAUAUUGGAUAAAGAAAUGGGAUAUGUUAAUGAUCCCAUUUGUCCGUACGUUUUUAUCAAGCAAUCAGAAUUUGGAAUUGCUAUUGUUGCAGUUUAUGUUAAUGAUUUGAAUUUAAUAGGAACUCCUAAAGAGCUCCAAAAGACUGUUGAAUGUUUGAAAAAUGAAUUUGAAAUGAACAAUUUAGGAAAAAUUAGGGCCUGUUCGACACCAUCUCCAAACACUUGUUUUCAUUUUCGUUUUAAGAAUACAAAUGUAAUCCAUGUUCGACACAAUAAAUUCAGAAAAUAAAUUAUAAAGCAAAUAAUUCAGAUUUUCCUUUAUAGUUAUAAAAAUAAGAACAUGUUUAACACGUUUUUAGUGAAUCCGAAAUCAAAUUCCAAAAUAAAUUACAAAAUAAAACAUUUGAUAUUCUUCUUGUUCUAACCAUAAAGCACAACUCUCUUUUUAUUCUAUAUCUACUCUCUCCAUGGAUACUUUUAUUCUUCAACCACAAUUCACCGUCACAGCUCUCUCUCUCUCCGUCACAGUUCUUCAAGUAAAAUUGAUUGCUGCUGCUGUUACAUCUCAGCUCUGUCUCGAUUGGUGGCGGUUGUGCUGUUACGUCUCUGCUCUACUUCAGCUAGUGGUGGAUUGACUGCUGCUAUUGUGUUGAGAAUGGCUGAUGCUGCUUCGGUUAGUGGUGGAUCGACUGCUAUUGCUUCGGCUAGUGGUGGCUGUUGCGUCUAUUUGGGUAAAUUUUGAGAAUCGACGCUGGAUCACGGGUAUUAUUCUUUGUUUGGGUCCAAUUUUUUUUAAUUGUGUUUUUCAUAUUCUUUGUUUGGGUUGAUAAACUUUCAUUUGGUUGGGUUCAGUGCAUUUGGUUUGUGAAUGGAAAUUGAGUUCUUUUUUUGUUUUGUUUAUAUUUAAUUGUAAAUUUGGAAUGUGUUGAUGGAAUUUAUUGUGAAUUUAAAGAGCUGCUAAAAUGUUGAUUUGGAAAUUUAGAAUUUAGUUCCAUGUCAAGUUUGGAAUUCUUUUUAAGGUAACAAUAUAUAAUUAGUUGUCUAGUUCUUGGAUCCUAUUUCGUUUAUUCAUCUCUAUCAGAGAAUAAAACAAAGGAAAAUUAUCAUUUGUAUACACUUAGUUUACUCCAUUAUAAAAAAUACUAUAACACUUUGAGGGUGUAUCAAUCAUCCAUCUUAAGUUGACAAAAUGUAUCAGCUGACCAUCAAACCGUUAGUUGCCGUUUAAGUAUGAUGACGUCAGAAGAGUAAUUUGGUCUUUUUAUAUGAUACAAGUGAUAAUUUAAGGGUAUACAAGUGAUAAAAAGAGAAUUUAAGGACAUACAAGUGAUAACUGUCAAGGGUAAAAUUGUCAAUUCACUAUAAUUCCGUUAACUUUCAAACGGCAGCUAACGGUUUGGGGGUCGACUGAUAUAUUUUGUCAACUAAGGGUGGACGAUUGAUACACCCUCAAAGUGUUGUAGUAUUUUUGAUAACAGAGCAAAUAUAAGGUAUAUGAAUGAUAAUUUCCUUAAAACAAAUUCUGUAAUGAGUGAAGGAUAAAAAGCAUUUUAAUUACUUCGGUUUUUCACCAGGACAUAAUUGGAGAAACCAAAAAAUGGUUUUCUAUAUUGAAGGCAUAGUAGUGUGUGGUAAUAAUAGAGAAGUCUGAGUCCUGGAAAAUAAAUGAAUUCAUGUUUGACAUAUCUACAGUUAUACAAUUACUUAUAUGUUCUCAUUGGACACAAGGAGAAUUUUCUUUUUAAUUUAAUAUGUUUGAUUUUUUUUUAGGUUAAAGACUCUAGGUAGUUGUUGUGCAAAUUUUAAUGUACUCGCAAGCGCACGAAUCUAUUGUAGUAUAGACUAAUGGUGACGAGUGUCGAUCCCACGAGGAGGUGGAUUUUAAUUAUAUAUAGAAUUAAUUUUGUAAAUGGGUAGUUGGAUUUAUGGUGGAAAUGAUUUGGAAUAUGCUAAUACUUAAAUUAAAAUGGCGAGAAUAAAUUCUAAAAUUGGAAUUGCAAUGGAGAGAAUAAAUUGAAGAGAAAAUCUAUUAAAUUGACGUACUUGGGUAUCUGGAUCCGUAUCAACAUGCAUCAUGGGCUAAAUAAUCCGUAUUAAUGCCAAUUAAAUCAUGAGGGGGGAAUCCACACCUCAUGAACCACGCUCUAAUCAAUAUGGUGCUAAGGGCUUAUCGUGCCAAAUAAUAAUAACCUUAUACUAGAGAGCCGGUGUAACCAAGGCGGUAUCUAGACAAGACUAUUAUUAUUUGUCGACGAGAAGUCAAAACAUCCACAAAAAUUAGAGGGGAAGAGAAAAUAAAUUUACCAAAUUAAGCCCAUGACACAUGUUGAGACUUCACCUUCAACCCAAGCUUGAAAGAAAAUUAGCCACUCAUAGUUGAACUAGGGGCAAAAUAGGAAUUUAUUAAAAUACGAAGAAAAUACAAGAUGGAGAGGGAAUUACAGAAAAUGGAUCCCAAAAAUGGAUUCAGAGAUAUCAAAUUAGGGGGGGGAGGCCCCCUUUUUAUAGAUACAUGGAGUAAAUCAUGGCCAUCGGAUUAAAAACAGUUUGGACGCUCAGGAUUGCGCCACGUCAUCAGUCAAUAGUCCACGGUUUGACCACGCGGAUGAACAGUAACACGGUUUGACCCGGAUGAACAGUAACGCGGUUUGGUUGAAAAUAAUCCUGUGUGAUGCAUGCACCGUACGCGAGAUUUUUCGUCCACUGAUAUGCUGCCACGUCAUCAUCAACAGUACAUAAGAAUUUUAGUCCAACAGGAUCGUGACACCUCAUCAGUCAAUGCCACAUCAUCGGUCAAUGCCACGUCAUCAUCCGUCUAUGUGAACAGUGUCGUGAACAGUAACGUAUACAGUACCGUACACGUGAAUAGUACCGUACAUGUGAAUAGUGCCAUUUUUCCUUUUAUGCUCCUCCUAAGGUUUUCGACCGUCCUGAGUUCAAAAGUGAUGUCCGUUUUGCCGUCUGAUCUCUCAUUUAUUGUGAAAUGACUAUAAUGCCCCUAAAAUACAUAAAAUACUUAAUUAAAAUAAAACACAUGUAAUUAAAUCACAAGAAGGUUAAAUAUAUAAAAGUAAGGGUUGUUAGUAAGACUUAAAAUGUAAAAUGACGGUUUUCUCCUUUAUAAAUAUGCAUUUUCUAACACUCAACACACCCCCCAACCAGCUUAUUGCUAGUCCCUAGCAAAUAAAGCGAAAACAAAAUUCAAAUUCAAAAUAAUUUUUUUUUGUUUUAAUAGAAACACUCGUAUUUAUUCCAUCAGAUUAAUGAUAGCAAUCAAAUAAAAGUAUAAGCAUUAUCUCCAGUCUAAAGCAACAUCACACCCACAUCAACCAUCCACAUGAAUUAGCCCAGUAGACUUUGUUUUAGCUACUCUCAAGAAUGACAUGUCAAACCCCAAAAUCUCACUGGAAGUAGUGACACUCUCACAAAUAAAUUAAUCCCAAUAAAAAUAGUCACUCCAAUGAAUGGUAAUUGAGAGAGAAAAUAAUAAAGAAGUGAUAUCACAUGCUCUCACCAAGAUGAAAUAAAUAUGCCCUCAGCUUAGAAAUAAUACGAUCUCAAGUCAAAUAAAAUGUUAGUCAACCCACUUUAUUUAUCUUUUUUUUUUAAUUAUGCAUCACUACAUCUUUUUAGCCCAUAUAACUAGCUUCUACUUCAAACUAUAGUUCCCUAAAAUUAAGAAGGACUUUUAUUAGGACGAAACGUAGGCUAGGGACAUGGCUAACAAAGAAGGAAAAUAAAGAAAACAAAGUGUAUAUUUGAGAAAAAUGCAGAGAAUUUUUUUUUUUUUUGGAAGUUGCAAGGUGGAUUUCACCUAUUUUUAUUCUUUUGAAACAACAACUUUUGUUUUUGUUUUUUUUUUUUUUGCUUUUAUUUGGCAUAACUUCACUGAACAAAAUAAUUAUUUACAUUUUCUCAAACAUAAAUAGGUGAUGGAACUUAUAAGAUAUCGGGUAAUACUCCAAAUCGGAGUGGGUCAAGAUGAUAAGUUGACAAAGAAAAGGUUUUUUUUUUUUUUUUUUUUUUUAAAGGCUCAAAAGGGUUAACUAUGGAUAUUAAAUAAAAGGGAUGGCUUGAAAGGCUCAAACGGAUCAAAGAUGGCCUCUCCAUCGUCUUUUAGGGCUCUAAAUAAUUUUCCAUAUCUACUAGUUAGAUGGGCCUCCAAAUGUAGCAACACACUCUUUUUUUUCUUUUUUUUUCUUUUUUUUUACCAUUUUUUUUAAAGGGUUAACUCAAAAGAAAUGUAGAGAUCGUGUAUAAAAUAAUAAACUGCUAAGCUGUAUAGAGAAUGGGCAAAAGGGUUACUCUCCAAGAAAAUAAUAGGCUCAACAACUCACUUGGCACUUAUUUAUGACAUGUUCAUUCCUUCAAGCAACUCAUAUUUGUCUCCGACAUCAACAUGUAAAGUAGCAAACAUAGCGUAACAUCACUUAAGACCAAAGAUAAUACAAAUAAUAAAAUUUGAAAUUAAUCAUGUCAUCCAAUGUUAAAACAAAUCACACAUUUUUUUUUUUUUUAAACAUCAUUCUACCCCCCAACCUAUUCUAAACAUGAAAGGAAAAUAUGCAUGCAGAAAUGUGAAAAUGAUGUAUAAAAACUAAUUAGAAAAGUUACACGUAAAAUGAUAGAAAACGAAAAUGAUUUUUUUUUUUUUAAAAGAAGAUGCGUUUCUAGAGGAACUACACUCCAUAUUCAGCCAUCUUCGACUCAAAAGUUGGAAAAUGUAUAUUUAUAGAGGAGAAAUUAAAGAAGAAAAAUAAACAUAAACACAUAAUAAAGAAAAAGAAAAUGUCUGAAUUUUUUUUUUUGAAUUUUUUUUUUCAAACAAUGAAGAUGCGUUUCUAGAGUAACUACACUCCAUAUUCAGCCAUCUUCAACACAAAAAGUUAGCAACAGUUAGUUUCUACAACAAAAAAUUAGUAAAAACUUAACUAAAAUUUCACAAUUGUCGACUAUUCCCUCCCCCCAACCAGAACGAAACAUUGUCCUCAAUGUUUGAAAUGAAAGAAGUAGAGUUUAGAAGAUAUCACCUGGGUGGUGCAACACAGAAGAAAAUAUUUACAGGCGGAGAGUUAAAUCUAAUUUGUACUUCUUACUGCGGCUACUGUUACCAUCAUUAUUUGGACGCUCCAACACAAAGGUCCAGGGGUCUGGCUCCGGUCGAUAAGCUUGUAAUAUAUCAAGUAGCUCAUUAGCAGUGUGAGCACAAAUAAAGAGUUUUUUCACAUUAGCGGGAAUGAAAUAGUUUUUUAUUGCAUGGUUAAGAAAUGCGAUAAAGCCAUCAUAAAAGUUAUUGACAUUUAACAAACCGAUGGGUUUUUGGUGGAUGUGCAGAUGGGCCCAAGAUGCUAGCGUGAUAAGUGCCUCUAGUGUUGCAAGAUCUCCUGGAAGGAAAAUAAAAGCAUCAGCAUGAUUAAGCAUUUCAGUUAUUCUUUCUUGCAUACCUGAGACGACUAACUCUUCUCCAGUUGAUGAGUCAGACGAACUGCCCAAUGGUUUUAAGACUCUUGGGAUGAUGCCUAACACUUGACUUCCUCUGAUAAAAGCUGCUUCGGAGACCAUUUUUGAUAACCCUCGGUUACCUCCUCCAUACACCAAAUGUAAAUUUCUCGCUGCUAUGCUUCGACCAAGAUCUAUGGCUGCCUCAACGAACUCUUUAUGUUUGCCAUAUGUAAAUCCAGAAAGCACACAAAUGUUCUUGAAUUGUCUAUUGGGAGUAGCUGACAUUGUGAUACUUCUCAAAAACAAUUUGUGAGUGCUUGACAAAAAAGAAAUCAUAUUUAAGAGUCUUGGUGAUAGUGGGUCAUGGUUGUGUAUGAGGUAAUAUGUCAGUGUCAAAUAACGCGUAAAGCACGUGGCUCGCAAGUCAAAAAGAAAACAGUAAAAAGGAAAAAGCAAACAGUAAUAAAAUUAUUAAAGACAAUAAUGCAAACAAUAAGACAAUAGUGAAAUAAAAUAACAAUAAAGUAAAAGGAUAUUUACAGGUAGUUGCGACUGUGGCUCACAUCUUCCUCUGGUUUUACGUCCAGAAACGGCUUGAACGCCCUCUAUGGGUCGAGGAUAGGCUUCCUAUCCAGUUUUCUUAUAAACUGGCAAACAGGGUCGUUUAUAGUCAGAUUCCCGAGACUAUAUCGUGCAUGCUCUUUCUGGAAUAAUGGCCAUAACUGGAGAAUCGCUCCUUGCACAUAUCCACUGGGAUGCGUUUCAAGAGACAAAAGGAUAUCAUCCAAUGACUCCUUAUUCAAGCCAUCCCUAAUGAAUUGAAUCUUAUCUUCCCUGUUAUCAGACACCAUUCCUAAAGAACAUGGGUUUUUAUUGCAACUCAUUCUGGCACACUUAUGACAAGCAACAGAAAUUCUUCGAGCUCGUCGUUUUCUUGCAUAAUUUCCUUUACCACAACCAGGCAUGUAUGCAAUAAAUUUUGGAGGUAACUCACCUGCCGAUCGUACUUUAGCCUCGAUUAACCAACGGAUGUCAGCAGGUAUGUUAUUCCUCAUGAGUAAUCGCAUGCGUUCGGACCGAGCUUUAUAGAUCGUAAGGAGGGCAUUCUGAGGAAGUGAAGGGAAUCGCUUGUGAAGCUUCGCUAGAAUCUCGUUUCUGUCCAUACCUUCGCCUCAGAAUAUCAGUUAUUAUGGGAAACUGAAGUAACCGACUUGAUUGUCACGGAGUACCGUUAUCCGCCACUUCACCGGGGUAACAAACUAAAGCACACAAAUAGAAAAACAAAUUAAAACACACAAAGAAAAUUAAAAUCGUCCUCUUAUUGAAUUUACCUCAAGCUCCAACUGGAUGUCGUAAACACUUCUCUCAAUGUCUCUGAGUUGGUGUUCUAAACCCUCAACAUAGGCUACUAACUCUGGUGGUUGUAGAGUCCAAAUGCGAUGUGUUUUACAAAAUUGAAUCUGUCUUUUGAGAUGAGUUUUGACACGUUGAAGUGGUUUAAGAAUGUUCAGGAGGAACGGUCUAAGUAUGAGACUCAUGAUUAACAAUGAUAAGAGAAAACUUAAUGGUAAAAUAAACACACUUAUGCAAAAACAAUUUCAAUUAGCAAAAGAAUAAUAAUAAAAAGAAAGAAAGAAAAAUCAAAUCAACGAAAAGAAAAAAAAAAUCAAUUCAAAUUUGGUGGGUCACUCAAAUUUAUUUCGGUGUCUUCUUCAUGUGGUUGGUACUCUAGAUAUGGCUUUAAUCUUUGACCAUUAACUUUAAACGUGACACCAUUCUUUGGGUCUUUAAUUUCAAUUGCCCCAUGUGGAAAAACAGUAUGAACAAUAAAUGGGCCAGACCAACGAGAGCGUAACUUACCUGGGAAUAGGUGCAAGCGAGAAUUGAAUAAAAGCACUUUCUGACCUGGAGUGAACAAUUUUCUCAUAAUUUGCUUAUCAUGGAAGACUUUCAUUCGUUGCUUGUAAAUCUUGGCAUUUUCGUACGCGUCAUUGCGAAUUUCUUCAAGUUCUGCCAGUUGUAAUCUUCUUUCUGAGUUGGCUUGCUGCAUGUCAAAAUUGAAUUUCUUGAUGGCCCAAUACGCACGAUGCUCGAGUUCCACAGGUAGGUGGCAAGCUUUUCCAUACACUAGCCUGUAGGGUGACAUCCCAAUCGGGGUCUUGAAAGCCGUUCUAUAUGCCCAUAAUGCAUCAUCAAGUCUUAAUGACCAAUCUUUCCUGUCUGGCCUCACCGUCUUUUCUAAUAUGUGCUUUAUUUCUCGAUUGGAGAUCUCAACUUGGCCACUGGUUUGCGGAUGAUACGGGGUCGCCACUUUGUGUGUGAUUGAAUACUUUGUCAAAAGAGCUUUGAAUGCUUUGUUACAAAAGUGGGCACCACCAUCACUGAUUAUCGUUCGAGGGAAUCCAAAGCGUGAAACAAUGUUGCUCUUCAAAAAUGCUAUCACCACCUUGUGAUCAUUGGUCCUACAUGGAAUUGCUUCUACCCAUUUUGAUACGUAGUCAACAGCAACCAAUAUGUAUUGAUGGCCAAAAGACGGGGGAAAGGGUCCCAUGAAGUCGAUACCCCAUACAUCAAAAAUCUCAACCACUAAAAUUGGAUUUAGUGGCAUCAUGUUCCUUCGUGUAAUGCUUCCCAUUCGUUGACACCUAUCACAUGAAGAACAGAAAGUGUAAGCGUCUCGAAAUAUAGAUGGCCAAUAGAAACCACAUUGUAAAACUUUAGUCGCUGUCUUCUUAGCACUGAAAUGGCCUCCACAAGCUUGUUCAUGGCAGAAUGAAAGGAUAUUCUGAAUUUCAUUUUCUGGGACACAUCGUCUAACAAUUUGGUCUGCACAAUACUUGAACAAAUACGGGUCAUCCCAAAAGAAAUUCUUUAUUUCCGCAAAGAAUUUGAUCUUGUCUUGCUUGGUCCAAUGCUCUGGAAGUUUACCUGUAACAAGAUAAUUAACUAUAUCAGCAUACUAAGGUAAUACUUCCACACUCAUUAAUUGUUCAUCUGGAAAUGACUCAUUUAAUGGUAAUUGUUCUAUUAUUGUGUCAAAAUGGAGACGAGAGAGAUGGUCCGCCACAACAUUUUCUGACCCUUUCUUAUCUUUGAAUUCCAAGUCAAAUUCCUGCAAAAGUAACACCCAACGAAUUAGUCUGGCUUUUGCAUCUUUCUUUGUGAGAAGAUAUUUAAGAGCAGCAUGAUCUGUGAAUAUAAUUAUUUUACAACCAAUGAGAUAUGAUCGAAAUUUUUCCAAUGCAAACACUACUGCUAGCAUUUCUUUUUCAGUAGUUGAAUAGUUCAACUGUGCAUCAUUCAAUGUCAUACUAGCAUAAUAAAUAACAUGGGGAAUUCGAUCAACUCUUUGUCCUAAUACUGCUCCUACUGCAUAAUCAGAUGCAUCACACAUUAGCUCAAAUGGUAAGCUCCAGUUUGGGGCCUGAAUGAUGGGUGAUGAUGUCAACAACCGCUUUAAUUUUUCAAAAGCCAUAAGACAUGAAUCAUUAAAGAUAAAAGGUACAUCCUUAGCAAGUAAAUUGCAUAAGGGUCUAGAAACUUUGCUAAAAUCUUUAAUGAAACGUCUAUAGAAACCAGCAUGCCCAAGGAAAGAUCUUACUUCUCUGACUGUUUUAGGUGGAGGAAGAUUAGAAAUGAGAUCCACCUUGGCUUUGUCAACCUCAAUACCUUUGCUCGAAAUGAUGUGACCGAGAACAAUACCUUGUUUUACCAUAAAAUGGCAUUUCUCCCAAUUUAAGACCAAGUUCUUCUCGAUACAUCUCUGCAGAACUAGUGUUAGAUGAUGUAAACAUUGAUCAAACGAGUCACCAAAGACAGAAAAAUCAUCCAUAAAGACUUCAAGGAAUCGUUCAACCAUAUCAGAAAAAAUGCUCAACAUGCAUCGUUGAAAUGUAGCAGGUGCAUUACAUAAUCCAAAUGGCAUUCUCCUAUAUGCAAAUGUGCCAAAAGGGCAAGUGAAAGUAGUUUUCUCUUGAUCUUUUGGUGCUAUGGGAAUCUGAUUAUAUCCUGAGUAGCCAUCUAGAAAGCAAUAAAAUUCAUGGCCUGCUAAUCUAUCAAGCAUUUGAUCAAUAAAUGGUAAAGGAAAAUGGUCUUUACGUGUGACAGAAUUCAAUUUUCUAUAAUCAAUGCAUACACGCCAUCCUGUAGUCACUCUAGUGGGUAUCAAUUCAUUAUCAGCAUUGGUAACUACUGUGACUCCUGACUUUUUAGAGACAACUUGUACAGGACUGACCCAUGAACUAUCAGAAAUUGGGUAAAUGAUACCUGCAUCUAAUAGCUUAAGGACCUCAGUUCUAACAACUUCUUUCAUGUUAGGAUUUAACCGACGUUGCAUCUCCCUAGUAGUUUUAGCAUUUUCAUCAAGGUGAAUGUAAUGCAUGCAAUCUACUGGGUUUAUACCUUUAAUGUCUGCUAUGGUCCAUCCUAAUGCCCCUUUGUGAUCUUUCAAAACAUCCAACAACUUACCUUUUUGUUCAUCGUUUAGGGAUGAUGAGAUGAUUACCGGCAGAGUACUUUCUUCUCCCAAAAAUGCAUAUUCCAGAGUGUUGGGCAAUGGUUUGAGCUCGAGUUUCGGUGGUGAUUCUGAUGAUGGAAUGAGUUGCUUCUCUGAUGGUGCUAGUUGCUCAACUCUUGACUUCCAUUUAUUAGUGUCCAUAGAUGGUGCUGAGUCAAGCAGGGCGUUGACCUCAUCAACUGAUCUGUCAAUAUCAAAAUCAAAACCAAAGUGAGUUAAACAUGUUUGUAAAGGAUCAUCACUAAGGUUUGAAAGAAAAGUGUCAUCAACUAAUGCUUCAAUUAAAUCCACAUCAACAAUUCCAUCAUCUGCACUGUGAGGUUGUUUGGCAAUGUUGAAGAUGUUCAGCUCCAUAGUCAUGUUGCCGAAGGACAAUUGCAUAUUUCCGGUCCUACAUUGAAUGUGAGCAUCCGCAGUUGCCAAGAAAGGUCGGCCUAGAAUAAUGGGGAUGUGCUUCCUUGAAUCCUGUAUUGGUUGAGUGUCAAUUACAAUGAAAUCAACAGGAAAAUAAAACUUGUCUACCUGGAUAAGCACGUCCUCCACAAUACCACGAGGUAUUUUCGUGGACCGAUCUGCAAGUUGUAACACCACUGGAGUUGGGUGUAAUUCUCCCAGUCCAAGUUUCACAAACACAGAGUAAGGCAAUAAAUUUACACUAGCUCCUAAAUCCAACAAAGCAUUCUCAAUUGUGUGGUUCCCUAUACUACAUGAGAUAGUGGGGGAGCCUGGGUCUUUGCAUUUUAAAGGAAUUUUAUGUUGGAGUAUAGAACUAACGUUUUCUGUUAAAAAUGCCUUCUUUUGAACAUGCAUAUUUCUCUUUUUAGUACAAAGGUCUUUAAGAAACUUGGCAUAAGAUGGAAUUUGUUUAAUAGCAUCAAGCAAAGGGAUGUUAACACUUACCUGUUUGAAGAUUUCAAGAAUCUCACCUGUGGAUUUUCCCUUUUUUCCUUUAGCUAACCUCUGAGGAAAUGGAGCUUUCGGAACAUAUUCUCGUGGGUUAGUUUCUUCUUUCUCCUCCGGUGAUGAGUCCUCAACAUUCACAGGUACAAUUUGAUUUUCUUUUGUCACCGGCAUCUCCACUUUGUUGUCGACUUCCUUUCCUUUUCGCAAGGUCAUUAUUGCUUUGACUUCUCCAUGCUGCUGUGGUGAACUAGUACUUGCUUCAUGCACUCCUUUAGGGUUAGGCACUGGUUGACUUGGAAACUUACCUUUCUCAACGGUCAUUGCCAAGGUCUGAACUGAAGAAGCAAGUUGUCCCACCAUCUUCUCGAGGCUUGAAACUGAUUGGGCUUGUGAGUUGAAGCCCGCUCUCAAUUCAUUUCGUAGUCCAUCAAUGGUGCGGUUCUGUUGCUCAAUCGUAGAGUGAGUAAGAUUCUUGAGAUUUUGGAAUGAAUCCUCCCAUGGUCUAGGUUGAGAGUAGUUCUGGUUCUGAUUGUAUGGUCUAAAUGGUGGCUGAGAGGCUUGAGGAUUUUGUGGAAUUGGUGGAGCUGGAGCUGUUGGUCCAUUCUGUUGGAAUCCUUGAGACCAUGAAAAAUUGGGGUGGUCUCUCCAUCCAGGGUUAUAUGUGUUGGAGUAUGGGUUGUAAUUUGAUGGCUUUCUCAUUACACCUAUGGCAUUGGCUUGAUCUGAGUAUGAGUCAUGGUCAUGUGGCUCUGUUGAUUUAGCAGUCGAUAAUGAUGCUAUUUGUCGAGAGAGACCUUCAAUUAUCGCUUUGACUUCUUUAAUUUCUGAACUUGAUUCGCCAAUUUGAACCUCAUUCACUCCUUUAAUUCUUCUAGUAGUCCUGAGUGAUCGACUCCGUUGUUGGGAAUUAUCCGCUUGUCGCUGGAAGAAUUCCCAAAUCUCUGAUGCACUUUUUGACAUUAACUCUCCUCCACUCGUUGCCAUUAGCCAUUCUUGCACAUUCGGCAAUAAUCCUUCCAAAAAGUAUUGGCAUUGGUGCCAUUUCUCGUACCCAUGAUGUGGACACUUCAAGAGUAGCCCAUUGAAUCGCUCCCAUGUUUCGAAAAAUUGCUCGUCCUCUCUCUGGGUAAACUCCGAGAUUUCCCUGCGAAUAGCGUUGGUUUUAUGCACUGGGAAAUAUUUAUUCAAAAAUUUCGUUACCAUUUGUUCCCAUGAUGAAAUGCUAUUAGCAGGUAAAGUAUUUAACCAUGAACGAGCUCUAUCCUUUAAAGAAAAUGGGAAUAAUCUGAGUUUAACAUCAUCGUCUGAAAAAUUUUCAUAUUUAAAAGUUUGAUAAAUGGCAUGAAAAUCAUUCAGAUGAUUAUAUGGAUCCUCAUUUUCUAAGCCAUAAAAUGUGGGGAGACAAUUUAGCACACUAGGUUUUAGUUCAAAGCUCCUAGCAGCUACAUUAGGGUAUCUUAUGCAUGAUGUGCUCAAAUUAGCUAAAGGACUGAAGUAGUCCUUAAAUGGCCUCUCUUGUGGUUGCAAAUCCAUUUCAAAUUUAUUUUUAAUGUGCUUUUGUGUGCGAAGUGUUUUUUCUAAUUCAAGGUCUAUAGGUUCAAGAUUAGGUAAUAAUGACCUACGACCAUGCAUGCAAAACAAAUAAAAAGAAAAUAAAGAUGGGAACAAAACAAAUAAAAAUAAAGAAGAGGGAGAAAUUACGAUACUAACCUUAUUGCGCUAUUACAACCUUACUAUAAAAAUACACAAAAACAAAUAUGUGAAAUAAAUUAACUAAAAAUAAAUUAAUAAGAUAAACAAAAAAAAAAUUACAAAGAAAAAUAAAUUGAAAAUUAAAUUACAGAAUUUUACAGAAGAGAAAAAGAAAAAAAAAUACUAACCUUUAAAUGCAGAUUCAAUUUUUUUUUCUUUUUUUUUUAAUAAAAAAAAAUUACUAGAAAAUAAUUAAAAGAAAUUGUUCACAAAAAUUAAUUCUAUGAAUUAAAAUUACUUACCUCCCCGGCAACGGCGCCAAAAACUUGUUGUGCAAAUUUUAAUGUACUCGCAAGCGCACGAAUCUAUUGUAGUAUAGACUAAUGGUGACGAGUGUCGAUCCCACGAGGAGGUGGAUUUUAAUUAUAUAUAAAAUUAAUUUUGUAAAUGGGUAGUUGGAUUUAUGGUGGAAAUGAUUUGGAAUAUGCUAAUACUUAAAUUAAAAUGGCGAGAAUAAAUUCUAAAAUUGGAAUUGCAAUGGAGAGAAUAAAUUGAAGAGAAAAUCUAUUAAAUUGACGUACUUGGGUAUCUGGAUCCGUAUCAACAUGCAUCAUGGGCUAAAUAAUCCGUAUUAAUGCCAAUUAAAUCAUGAGGGGGGAAUCCACACCUCAUGAACCACGCUCUAAUCAAUAUGGUGCUAAGGGCUUAUCGUGCCAAAUAAUAAUAACCUUAUACUAGAGAGCCGGUGUAACCAAGGCGGUAUCUAGACAAGACUAUUAUUAUUUGUCGACGAGAAGUCAAAACAUCCACAAAAAUUAGAGGGGAAGAGAAAAUAAAUUUACCAAAUUAAGCCCAUGACACAUGUUGAGACUUCACCUUCAACCCAAGCUUGAAAGAAAAUUAGCCACUCAUAGUUGAACUAGGGGCAAAAUAGGAAUUUAUUAAAAUACGAAGAAAAUACAAGAUGGAGAGGGAAUUACAGAAAAUGGAUCCCAAAAAUGGAUUCAGCGAUAUCAAAUUAGGGGGGGAGGCCCCCUUUUUAUAGAUACAUGGAGUAAAUCAUGGCCAUCGGAUUAAAAACAGUUUGGACGCUCAGGAUUGCGCCACGUCAUCAGUCAACAGUCCACGUUUGACCACGCGGAUGAACAGUAACACGGUUUGACCCGGAUGAACAGUAACGCGGUUUGGUUGAAAAUAAUCCUGUGUGAUGCAUGCACCGUACGCGAGAUUUUUCGUCCACUGAUAUGCUGCCACGUCACCAUCAACAGUACAUAAGAAUUUUAGUCCAACAGGAUCGUGACACCUCAUCAGUCAAUGCCACAUCAUCGGUCAAUGCCACGUCAUCAUCCGUCUAUGUGAACAGUGUCGUGAACAGUAACGUAUACAGUACCGUACACGUGAAUAGUACCGUACAUGUGAAUAGUGCCAUUUUUCCUUUUAUGCUCCUCCUAAGGUUUUCGACCGUCCUGAGUUCAAAAGUGAUGUCCGUUUUGCCGUCUGAUCUCUCAUUUAUUGUGAAAUGACUAUAAUGCCCCUAAAAUACAUAAAAUACUUAAUUAAAAUAAAACACAUGUAAUUAAAUCACAAGAAGGUUAAAUAUAUAAAAGUAAGGGUUGUUAGUAAGACUUAAAAUGUAAAAUGACGGUUUUCUCCUUUAUAAAUAUGCAUUUUCUAACACUCAACAGUAGUUAAUUGGGCAUCACGAACUACUGCCUUAUUAUUUUACAAGGUUUGCUCAAGAAAAUGGAACCAUUUCGGAAGAUAUUCUUAGAAGUGCUUUUUUUGCAAUUGUGGAAGUUUAAUUGGCUAUUUUGACUCAUGGACAAGCAAAUCUUUUUCACAAUAAAUAUAGAAGAUAUAAAGACAUUCUAGAACAUAAUACGUUUGUAUUACUUGUUAUAGUUGCCCACAAGUUGUAUGUAUUAUCUUUAAAUGCAUCUGGUCUGUGUUUCAUCUUUUCUCUUCAUGGCACUCACUUGUUUUCGAAAUUUUUUUUUUCAAUGUCAAGGAGUUGCCAGCCGACUUCUUAAAACAACUUUAAAUACGGUGGCAAAGAAAAGGCAGAUGGAUUAUAACAAGCUUAAGAAGAUUGAUAAGGGGGAUAGGUGGUUUUAUCUUGAUGAUGUUGCUGUGGUUGUCAUCUUCAUAGAUCAUUGAAUUGUUGGAGAACAAGAUCUUUCUACCAGAGCUAUCAGUUCGAGGGUUCAUUGAUAGCGUAUCAAUCAUAGGUGUUGUAAUAUAUCUUUUAAUUAUAAUGUAAAGACAAUGACAAAGUAAAACUUUUUUUUUAUUAAUGCUAAUACUAAAUUAUUUAUGGUAUGUUUGUGUAUUUAUUAGUUAAACAAUUAUUUUCUAACCAUAAGUAUGACUUAAUAUUUAGUAAAAAUUAUUUUUGAAAAUAGUACUACUGAACGCAUAUUCACUGUUUUUAUCAUUUUCAAUUAUGUCUACCGAACGCAUAUUAUUGUUUUCAGUUUUAAAAUAUAGGAUACAAAAAAUGAUACCAGACGCAUAUUUUAAUUCGAAAUUCAGCAACUGCAAAACACUAUUUUCAUUCUUAUUUUUGUUUUAAGAAAAUACUAACUAAAAAAUAAUACUGAACGGGCCCUUAGGUAUUGUCUCGGGUUGCAGACCGAGCACAAACCUAAUGGUAUUUUUAUCCAUCAGUCAACUUAUACUGAUAAAAUUUUAAAAUGUUUCAACAUGGAUAAAGCUUACCCAUUGAGUACCCCAAUAGUAGUCCAGUCUAUUGAUUCUAAAAAAGAUCCAUUCCGUCCUAAAGAAGAUGAUGAACAUAUACUUGGUCCCGAAGUACCAUAUCUAAAUAUAAUUGGUGCUCUGAUGUAUUUAACACAAUAUACUAGACCAGACAUAGCAUUUUCUGUUAAUAUGUCAGCUCAAUUUAGCUCUGAACCAACUAGAAGACAUUGGAAUGGUGUCAAACACAUUUUUGUUAUCUUCGACGAACAAUUGAUUUGAGUUUAUUUUAUUUUAAUGAACUAAAAAAAAUCUAGGUAUUGUUGGUUAUACUAAUGCAGGUUAUUUAUCUUAUCCCCAUAAAGCUCGUUCACAAAUGAGAUAUGUUUUCACUUUUAAUGGUACAACGAUUUCUUGGAAGUCUACAAAAUAGACUCUCGUUGCAACAUCCUCCAAGCAUUCUGAAAUUCUUGCACUACAUGAAACAAAUAGAGAAUGCAUAUGGUUGCGAUUUGUAAUCCAUCAUAUUCAAAAUAUGUGUAGAAUAUCUUCAAAUUCAGAUAUCCCAACAAUGAUGUAUAAAGAUAAUGUUGCAUGUAUAGCUUAACUCAGAGGAAGAUAUAUUAAAGGGGACAUAAUAAAACAUAUUUCACCAAAAUUCUUCUACACUCAUGAGCUCCAACAGAACAAAAAGAUUGAUAUCAAACAGAUAUGUUCCAUGGAUAAUUUAGCAAAUAUAUUUACAAAAACUUUACCUACAUCUACAUUUGAGAAAAUUGUAUAUAGCAUCGGCAUGCGUUGUUUCAAUAAACUAUCACAUUAAUACAUCUUACCAUCAGGAGGAGUAUUCAUCAGGAGGAGUACUCAUCAUAAGGAGUACUCAUCAUAAGGAGCACUAAUGUGGAGGAGCAUAAUAUGAACAUAUGUGCAUUGUACUCUUUUUUCGUUUUGACCAGGUUUUCCCAUUGGGUUUUUACUGGCAAAGGUUUUUAACGAGGCAGUAUUAAGCAUAUUUAAUUAAAUAAAUGGUGAAUUCAAGGAUGAGUGUUGUGGAAUACAUGUGGAUUUCUACCAUUUCAAGUGUGUGUAUAAUAAUGAUGUCUUCCACUACUUCAUGUAAUGACAAAUGACACAUCCCUUAUUAUAUUUACACUAUAUAAAUGAAAGAGAUGAAAGUCAUGUAUGCUUCGACGAUUACUCCUUCCUUAUUAUCUUCUCUCUCUCAUGUUUUUCUUUGUAUUCACAUGCUAAUUCUGUCAACUUCUCAUUUUAUCGCAUCACUUCUAAACCAACAAUCAUCUGCCUAAAUUCAUAUUAACGAGGUUCAUAUUCUAUAACAAUAUUAACGAAGUUCCUAAUUUAUAACAAUAACGAAGUAAACUCUUAAUAAUUGUGUUUGUUUUUGCCACUAGCUGCAAGCUAUAAAAGGAGAGAGUGUUGUGCCAUGACAUUAAUGAUAAUGUCAAUCUCGGUUGCACAGCCGCUGAUUCGACGUCCAGUCACUCACUCGUCUUUUAAUCUUUUUUAUGGUUUUUUUUUAAUUUUUUUCACUUACCUAAUAAAAAUUAUUUAGUUACUUAAGUAACAUGAAGAUAUAUUAAGCGGCAAUUUUGUUAAAUUAUCAGCGUCUAAUAUCGAAAAAAGGGUCUUAUUAGGGGAUUUACGGGGUUGAUUCCGGGUCUCGGGUUUUCCGAGGUUGCGAUGGAUUAAAUGAAACCCGGAUCCGGGAAGGGUAUGGAAAUUAAAUAACAAAAAUUUAAAACCAGUUUGAAAACACUAACGACACCGUUGCAAUUUGGGAAUUAAAAUCUCCGCUGUCACCAGAAUGUUUCUCAUCACUUGCCCUAAUUCAUAACUCAAACGGCACCAAAACGGUAGUUGCCGCCACAAUCUUUCUUAGUGUUGUAAUUGUGGUUUUUUGGAUUGGUUCUUCCUCUUCUUUUGUCAAGACGACGCCGUAAAAGGUCUGGUGAUGGGAGAGAACAUGGAAAAGACGGUGAACAAGAAACACAAAGGAAAGCAUGACAAGCCGAAGCCGUGGGAUGAGGAUCCGAAUAUCGAUCACUGGAAAGUUGAGAAAUUUGAUCCUUUUUGGAACGAAGGAGGCAUGCUCGAAGUCAGCUCCUUCUCUACUCUCUUCCCCCAAUACAGAGGUGCAAUCCUUGCCUUUAUGUCUUGUUUGGUUUGAGAUAAUUCAAAGUGCUUAUGGAGUAAGCACUUACUGGGUGCUUUCGGUUUGUUUGUGUGCAACUGUUUGUUUGUUACAGAGAAAUACUUGCAAGAGGCUUGGCCUAUGGUGAAAGGUGCUUUGAAAGAAUAUGGUGUUUCUUGUGAGCUAAAUCUGGUAAGUUCAUUCAUCAAGAUUUGAUUAGUCGAACAUUUGUGGUUGAGUGGUCAUAUAAAUUGAUUGCUCAUAUUGAAUGAGGUUGGUUGUGCAUGAUUUCGGUAUUGUGAGCUGAUGAGGGCUUGGUUUCGUGAUUGCCAUAUUCAGAUAAGAAUCUGUAGUUUACUUCUCUGCAUUGAAUUUAUUUAGGGUAUGGAAAAUAACAGCUAUUAAAGAGAAAAAUAAAAAGAUCUCAAAUAAGCCCCUCGUUUUUUCCUUUUCAAUUGAAGUCUUCGAAGGAUAAAGGUAAUUUUUGUUUCUGCUAAUCAGUUUUUUUAACAUUUUGGAGCUUAUAAGAAUCUGGGUUUGGCACUCAAGGGCCUAAAGCUACACAAUCUAUCUUUAUUGAGUUAUCUACCACUAGACAGAGCUGCUCAAUUUAAUUUACUAGUUUGUAUUUAUCUAGUUUAAACUGGUAGCCUUUCUCGAAGUGUAGCUUUUUGAUUGCUUGUUCCAUUUAUUUUUGUAUUUAAUAGUCUGUAUGAAAUACCUUUGACGUUGACUGUACUUCCUAAAAUAUAUGUUUGCUUGGUUUCUGAAAUCUUUUCUAUCUAUAACUUGCAUUUCCCUUUCUGCCAUCUUUUUUGCACAUCAGGUUGAGGGUUCCAUGACUGUCUCCACAACAAGGAAAACCAGGGAUCCUUAUAUUAUUGUCAAAGCUAGGGAUCUCAUUAGGCUUUUGUCGAGAAGUGUCCCUGCACCUCAGGUAUAUUUUCUAAUUUUGCUGUGCUUUGGUUUUCACUUAUUUUGUUUUAAACCUUUUAAUAAAAUAUUUGGGGGAGAGGUUUUUGUGUCAGUAGAUUGGGCGUAUUAGUUCCAUCAAUGCUGAAUGAAUUUAAUGCAACUUGCUUUUUUAACUCAUUGCUAGGGAAGUUAAUGAUCCUGGGUUUUUUCAUGGGCAGAUCUCUCAUUUGGGAAUUUUUUGUAUUGAUUAUUAUAAUUCGAUGUUUCACACUCUUCUCAUAUCACAGGCAAUCAAAAUACUUGAUGAUGAAAUGCAGUGUGACAUCAUCAAGAUUGGCAACUUGGUCCGCAAUAAGGUUUGUAUCACUUAAAAUCAUUUGAUGCUGUUGGUAUAAUACGAUAAUCAUACUUGCUGAAAAAGCCGAGAAGAUAUCGGAUGAAGUGGUUUGAUUAUUUAUGUAGCUUUGUACGAAGACCAAGUAAGGAAUUUAUGGAUUGUUAGUUCAAUAAACUUGCUAUUAAGCCGUUGGUGGGCAAAAGAAGAAUCAUCGUAAUUCCAAGAAUUAAUGCAUCUAGCGAUAACAUUUCAAACAACUUUUGUGAUGGUUAUUGAAAUAGAUCAGAAAGGGGAAUGCCGUAGGUAGUUGCAGAUGGGAGUUAGGAUUCUUAGGUUUGAGAGAAUUUUAGAUUUAUGGGGCAAAAUUUGUUUGUAAUUGUCAGAAAUCCAAAAAAAGAAAGAAAGAGAAAAAGAUGCAAGCAAAAAGAGACAUCAUAUUUGUCUAAAGCUAGUAGAAAUCUAAAACCCAUGUAGUCACUCUCCAUGUUCUGGAGAACCAAAUCAGCUAAUAAUACUCAUUUUAUUUAAAGUAGGCUCUAAUUUAUCCUAUACUUAUAUAUUAGAGUAUUAGAAAAUUCAAAUACUCAGCACCAUGGAUAAUAGCCUGUCAUUCUCUUGUUCAAUUCUGAUUAAAGUCACCAAAAAGAAGUCCUGGGGUAAUUCCUACAUGCUUUUGUGAAGAUUAAAUCAGUGUAUGUCUACUUGUUUGCAGGAACGUUUUGUUAAACGAAGACAGCAUCUUGUGGGCCCAAAUUCUUCCACUCUGAAGGUGUGUCCUGUUCCUUAGAUUUAUGAUUUUGUCAUUCUAUUGAAAAAUCUAUGCUAAUCCCAAUUCUGCAUUACCAAGAAAAAUUAAAAGGCAAAAGUCAAAAACAAAGCUGAAGGGGAUGCUUCGGCAGCUUGACCAUGAUUCCUGUGCAUAAUUGUCUAAUUCUUGUAACUGGCUUUGCUUCCACUUUGGAUGCAGGCACUUGAAAUACUGACAGGCUGCUAUAUUUUAGUUCAGGUAAUAGUUACUGUUCUUUGAAAUCUAUGAUUAAAUUGCUUUGUUUUUUAUAUUUUGGAUUGCAAUAAAUGAAGUGGAAAGCCAAAGCUGACUUUGUAAUUGAAUAGGGUAACACAGUUGCUGCUAUGGGUUCAUUUAAGGGUUUGAAGCAAGUAAGGAGGAUAGUGGAAGAUUGCAUGCAGAAUAAAAUGCACCCUGUAUACCAUAUCAAGGUCAUAGGCUGGUGUUUGAAAUUUUUGCCUUCAUCAUAUUGUCCUCUUUUUAAAACCUAACAUGUAGUUGUUUCUCUUUUCACUUGGAAGUCUGUUAACAUUACCUUUCUGACUCUUGAUUUUCUUUCUCUUUCCUGUGGGUUGUUUUCCAUUUCAUGCAGAUUCUAAUGGUGAAGAAAGAACUUGAAAAGGAUCCAGCUCUUGCAAAUGAAAACUGGGAUAGGUUUCUCCCUAAAUUUAAGAAGUAUGAUAUCUACUGAUAAUUCGUGCAUGUUAAAUACAGAUAUUUUGAACUAUUGCAGCAUUUUUGCUGUUAUACAUUUCUUAUUUGUUCAUAUUGUAAUUAUGUGAUGAAAUUUUACAGGAAAAAUGUUAAACAAAAGAAGGUCAAGAGUAAAGAGAAGAAACCAUAUACACCCUUCCCUCCUCCUCCACAACCUAGUAAGGUGAGACAAUUGCUUUGCCACCUUGUUGCUAAUGCAUUUCUGUUAGUAAACUCUUCGUUUUCCACUUGUUAUACCAAGAUUUAAAUCAGCGGAUGUUCUUUUAUAUAUAUGUAUAUCUAUGUAUGUAUACACACUUUUUGGAACCUGUAGUUGGAUCACUGGCUGAUUCUUACUUUUGAAUUUUUCUUAUAGUUGUUCCUGAUCAAAUUAAAUAAUCUAUAUUGGCAAUAUUUGGGGCUAUAUUUGCAGAUUGACAAACUACUGGAAUCUGGGGAAUACUUCCUAAGUGAGAGAAAGAAAGAAUCAAAAAAGUGGCAAGAGAAGCAGGAGAAGCAGGCAGAAAAAACAGCCGAAAACAAAAGAAAAAGAGACGCUGCAUUUAUACCUCCUGAGGUUUUAUUCUGAGACUCUCCAAUUAGCUGUUCUUUAUGUUAUGUUAGGAACUUGUUUUUGUCUUUUUUCGUCAUUAUUAUUAUUUUGGUAAUAACCUUCCUUAAAUUUUCUUGUGGCUAUUGCAGGAACCCUCGAGGCAGAAUUCCUGUGAAGCAGAGGAUAAGACAAAUGAUGUGGCAGCCAUGGCCAAGUCAUUAAAGGUAAUUGCAAACGUGAAACGUUGAAGAUUUAUUUCAAUUUUUUUUAUUUGCAUUUAUUUCUUUAUUUAUAUUUUAUUUUUCAGUUUAUGUAUGUUACAAGUUGGUUCGAUUUGCAGGAAAAGGCAAAGAAGCUCAGGAAGCAAAAGUUUGCUGAGAAUAUCAACCCCGAAGAGUAUAUUGCAGCAUCUGGGGAAAAACCAUCUAAGAAAAAGAAAUCGAAAUGAUCUUAUUCUGAUAUUGAUCUGCUUAAGCUAUGUAUCGUACCACUGUUCUUUAGAUGUGCGGUAACAGUGCACUGUAUGAUCUUGAAAGAUUACUUCACUAAUACUUGGGAUUAUGAGUCCUGAGUUUUGAUAUUAACAGAAUCUAUUCUUGACUGAACAUUUGCCAGUUGCUGGAUUAGAAUCAAGAGGAGGAAUAUUGUGAAAGAGAAGAAUUGUUCAUUGCGGGGAGAGAAUUUGUCACUAUCAAACCUUUCAACGCGGUUUUAGUUUGUAUAAGUAUUUUUUUCUUUUUUUCUUUUUCAUUUGAAGCACAAUGUGCUUUUAUUUAAGAAAAUAGGAAAGGAAAAUCUGUGAUUGUGAUCAAAUCGUGGGAAUGAUGAGCUCCACAAAAAAAAAAAAAAAAACUUACAGAUAUUCUGAAUAUAUGUUACGUUUAUUUAUCAGUAAUCGGAAUGAGUUGAAAUGAGAAUGAGCUGGAAUGAUGAGCUCAAAAAAAAAAAAAGGGGAACUUACAUAUAUUUUGAAUACAUACUGUGUUUACUUGCUAGAAAUUCGAAUAGGUUGGAAUCAAAAUGGGUUAAAAUCGAAAUAGGCUGGAAUGGGAAUGAGAAAUGAAAAUCGAAAUAAAUUGUUUACUUGAGUCGUAAGAACUGGAGUUGGAAUGAUUGGAAUCCCAUUAAUAUGUUUAUUUUAUUUUGGAAUCGAAAUCAGAAUAAAUUGAAUUGUUUCAAAUUACUAAAAUGUCUUUAGUUAAUUAUAAUAAUAACUAUUAUUAUUAUUAUUAAAAUUACUAUUAAUAUCUUAAUUAAUUAUAUUCAUAUGUUUUUAGUAUAAUAAUUAAUUACAAUUUAUCAUUAAUAAUAAUAAUAAAAUUAAUAAUAAGAAUCAUAAUUGGAUUCAUCAUCAUCAACAAAAUAAUACAUUUCCAAAAUAAUGAUAAUAAUCAUCAUCAAAUUAAUCUAUUUCCCAAGUAAUCACCAUCAACAAAAAUAAUUCAUUUCCCAAAAAAAAAAAUAAUCAAAAUCGAAAUUUUCAUCGUCAUCAACAAUAACAACAACAACAAUCAUCAUCGUUAGCAGCAGCAACAUCAUCAUAUCAAAACCGUUGCCAUCAGAGACGAAAUCGAAGACGAAAUCGACACGGCCCAACGGAGACGAAACUAGCAACUAGCAGCUGUCCACAGUCGACGGACCACGGUGGCAAAGAUGGUGGAUGGCCACGGUGAUGAUGGAAGCAGCUCCAAUGGCAUUCGAUUGGGAGGCACGAGCGAGAAAGUUUAGGUUUUAGGGAUUUUUUUUUAUUUUUCGCUUUUAAUUUUUUAUUUUUAUCUAAAGUGAGGGUAUUUCUAAAAUAAUAAAAAUGUUAAUGCGGGCAGCAAGGGAAAUGCUAAAAAUGAGAGUCUGAUUCCCAAGUCUCCCCUUGGGAAUCAAAUUCCCAAAGUAUUGUGGGGUACACCAAAAUGAAUCUCAUUCCUCCCCUUAUUUUAUUAAGUAAAUGUGGGUUUCAUUCUGAUUCUAGAUUUCCAUUCCUAAAUCUGGUAAGUAAAUGCAGCCUAAAAUUGAUAUAGUCUAUAAGACUAUAAUAUACGUUCAUAAGCUCCCAAGGGUGUAGUCGGGUUGGUAACGACAUGAAUCUUAUAGCAGCUGACUGGAGGUAAGGAGAAAAUAAAAAUUAUUCGGGUUCGUCCCACCAUUAAUAAUCUAUGGGUGAUGUGAUGUGCAUUGAUGUGUACGAGGUUAAAACAGAAUCACUAUCUAAUACGAGGUUAGGUGAACGUGGCACAAAGAAUAAAAAAUGCUUUCCUUCUAUUAUCAAUUGGACAAACUUAAUAAAUUAUUUACCUAAUUGAUUUCUCUUUAUCAAAUCUGCUACUCACUCAUGUGCCAACAUUCUAAAAUAUGAACUUAGAAUAUCCAACUCAAAGAAGACCGCCAAUGGGCGACAACACAUGCACUCAAGUCCCCUCUUAAUAAAAUCGGAUAUGGGUAUAGUUGUUUCACAUAAUUUAUAGUAAAUUAAAUAUUUUUUUGGUGUUAUGUGAGGGUACAAGAAAUUCGGGCUGUGCCAUAAUGAAAUUAUCAAGGAGAAUCUUGAUCGAUUUUUUAUUGUAAGUAUAAGUAGAGUUGUAAUUAUAAUAUAUAAAAAAAAUCUUUAAAGAAGACCCACCUAAAUGAAAUCACUUUUGGUGCAUUUACUUCAUAAAAUGGGAAUGUGGUUGAAUGAAAAUGGACUGGGAAUGCGAAUGGGCUGAAAUGGAAAUGAGAUUUCAAUGUUUACUUGGCAAAACUAAAUGGGAAUGGGAAUGUGCGACAAUGCCAUUUAUGUGUUUAUUUGGCAAAAUAAAUGAGAAUGAGAAUCAAUUUACUAAAAUACCCAUAGUAUUAAUAAUAAAUAAAAAUAAUUAAUUUAUCAUUAUUAACAAUAUUAUCAUUAUUGUUGUUAUUAUUACUAUUAUUAUUAUUAUUAUUAUUAUUAUUAUUAUUAAUAAAAUAAUAUUAACAAUAAUUAAUAAUAACUAAAAUAAUAAAGUUAAUAAAAUUUAAUAAUAAUAAUGUGUAUUAUUAAUUAUUGUUAAUAUUAUUUUUAUUAAUAUUAUCAUUAUUAACAUUUAUUAUUAUUAUUAUUAUUAAAUUUUAUUAAAUUUAUUAUUUUAGUUAUUAUUAAUUAUUUUUAUUUUUAUUUUUAUUAAUAUUAUCAUUAUUAACAUUUAAUAAUAAUAAUAAUAAUAUUAUUAUUAAAUUUUAUUAACUUUAUUAUUUUAGUUAUUAUUAAUUACUGUUAAUAUUAUUUUUAUUAAUAUUAUCAUUAUUAACAUUUAUUAUUAUUAUUAUUAUUAUUAUUAUUAUUAUUAUUAUUACUAAAUUUUAUUAACUUUAUUAUUUUAGUUACUAUUAAUUAUUGUUAUUAAUAUUAUCAUUAUUAACAUUUAUUAUUAUUAUUAUUUUAAUUAAUAUCAUUUUUAUAAUAAUAUAUCUAGAUAAUGAAAAUUACAUUAUUAUUAUUAUUAAAUUUUAUUAACGUUAUUAUUUUAGUUAUUAUUAAUUAUUGUUAUUAUUAUUUUUAUUAAUAAAAAUAAUAAAAAUUAUUAAUAAUAACUAAAAUAAUAAAGUUAAUAAAAUUUAUUUAUUAUUAUUAAUGACAUUUAAAAUAAUAAAAUUAAUUGUGAUUUGAAUGAGAGUAAUUUGGGAAAUAUGAAAAAAAUAGGGGGAUACAAAAAUAAACAUAUAUUUCAUUCCCAUUUCCUAAUUUUCAUUUUCAACCCCCCAUGGGAAUGAGAUUCACAUUCCUUAUUCCCAAAUUGUGUGGGACCCACACAUUUUAUUCUUAUUCCCAAAUUACAUUUUGUCAAGUAAACAUGGUUUCAUUCUCAUUCCUUCAUUCACAUCCCCCAUUCCAUGAAGUAAACACAUCAUUUAAGGAGAGGACGUCCCGCUAAUAAUAAUAAAAUGACUUAGGUGCUGUUUGUUUUUUAGUCUGAAGUCUGAAGUCUGAAUUUAACUUUUUUUAGACAUUUGUUUAUUUUAGAUUUUUUUUAACUUAUCACUUAUUACCAGACAAUUUUAUCUGAAUAGAAAAAUAGAAAAAGUCCACUUUUAUCUGAAGUCUGAAAUCUAAAUGGAAAAUUUUAAUUUCAAAUAUAAAAAAUACCCUUAACAAUUCAUGUAUUUCUAAUAUUAUGUAUAAACCUUAUAUUUUCGUAUUAUUCUUGAAGUUAUUUUUUUAAUUGCUUUAAAUUUUUAUUCACAUAAUAACAUUAACUAAACUGAAAUAUUGAACAAAUCAAAUUAUGUCAAUUAUGAUGAAUCAAAAUAAAAUAACAGUGUUGACUUUAUAAUAAAAUUUGAUGUUAUAAUUACAUCUUUCAUUAAAAAUUAAAUUAAGAUCAACAAUAAUAGUAUUUUUUUUAAAGUUACCAAACUAAUCGACCUGUUAAAAUUAUAAAUUGUGAAGAACAAAUAUAUGCACCACUUAAAAAGAUAUUAUGUCAAACUAUUAGCUUUUAAGUUUUUCUUUUUAGAUAUUGAAAAAGAAAAAAUAAACAUGUCAUUCAGACCUAUUCAAAUUUUAGCUAAAUUAAGACUUAUUCAGAUUUCAGAUAAAAAAAAACAAACACAACCUUAGUUUCUGCAAUUUAGGAUCAAGAGGAAGAGAGCAUGAUAGCAGAAAGUUAAAUAAAAUUAAUUAAUGUUACAUGAGUAUGCCACUGUCAAUUGUGACUUGAUGCGUAAAUUAGCAAGUGUACUAGUCGGCACAAGUAAUACAAUGAAGAGUAAAGUAUCGUCCCACAUAGAUUGUAUAUCCUAUUAGUUACCGAAAUUAUUCUAACCCUAAUUUAUUUGAACAAUCAAAUAAGCGAAUUUAGAUUUAAAAUUAAAAUAAAUUAAAUUAUCUAAAAAUUAAAUAAAGAUGCAGGCAGUAAUAGAAAUCACCAAGAGAUUAAGACACUAGGACAUCCGAUUUCACCAUAACCAAUCCAAUUUAAUCCUCUAUCCAUGCUAUUAAAGUUUAUUACCCAUGUUGACAGUGAAUUUCUCUAAUUUAUUCAAUAUCCUCUCUCGAGUAAUAUAAAAAAUAUCUCCACAUAUCAACCCACUAUAUCUUUAUGUGAAUUUAAAUAUGCAAAGAUUCAUUAAGCUCUAUGGAAAUUCUUAGAAAAAACUGCACGAAUCACGUUGGCACAUAUCUAUCUUUCGUUCAAUUCAUGGCAUCCAUUACACAAAGUAAAAAUACAUAAAUCUCCUCUCGGUCUCAUUAUGUAUCCUCAAAUCAUUCAAACAUUGGCCAGAUAUUUAAAAGCAUUAAACACAAUAAUGAACACUCAACUAUGGAAUAAUAAAUUAAAACUAAAUUUAUGGAAUUAAAUCUUCAUAGUUAGGUUACAUCGUAGUCCUAGUAAAAUAAAUUAGCUCAUGGGAAUAUAAAGAGAAUCCAUUAAUUUGAUUGGAAACAUUCAAACAAGAUAAUAGAAAAGAGAAAAAAAAACUCAAGAAUUAAUGCGUCUUUCUCCUGCUCCAAAUUAUUCCUAUUGCUCUCGGUUUUGUUCAAGACUUCCGGUUGCUGCUCUCUAUUUUCUUUUUCUCGUGGCUUCAAUUCUUCUUGUGCUGUUGACUUCUUUCCUUUCAUUCUCCCGCAAGUAUAGCAUUUAUACAUGGAAAAAAAAAAAAAAAAAAACAAAAGCUAAGCCGCCACUUUUAAGCCCAUGCACGCUCAACUUGUAAAAUUUAAUGGGCCAAUUUGCAAAGCCAAAGCCCAUCACGUGCAUGCCAUAUCUUCUUUGUAAAUAAAUUCUUCAAUGCUUCCCCACGUGCAUGCAUGCUUAAUGAUUAAUUAAAAUAAAUUCUUUGUAAUUUGUUACAAUUGAUUUUCUUUAUUGCUUUCCCUUUUUUAUUCCUUCAAGUUGAUUUUCUCCUGAAUGUUAUGAUUUUAUUCUUCUUUAAUCCCAUAUUGUACCUAAAAUAACAAAACAUAAAAAUUAAGAUAAAAUUAACAUAAUAAAAUAUAAUUUAACAUAAAAUUAAGUUAUGGAAGCAUUAAAAUAAUAGAUAAAUUAUGAGCACAUCAUGACUGACUCACUCUCUCAUCUUAAUUUAUGAAGGGAUGUUGAGACAUUAGAUGAGCAAGAGGAGGAAAGAAGAUGGUCGCAAAAGAAGUAAAGUACAAUCAGGAAUAGUGCAGUGUUGUAGCUGAUGUUAGAGCAACCAAUGUUGUAGCAAUCUGGGAGCAAUGCGGGAGAAAACUUAGGCGCGAGCCAGAUGCAGAAUCGCAAUCUGCAUGUUUCCUAAUUUAACUCAUGCACGCCCACGAACUUUUGUUUACCCUAGUUUGCAGUAUAAAAAGGGGGCGCGCACCACAUAGAGAGGCGGUAAGAGGAUUAUCAGUAAUUCAUUGGAGAAAAAAGGAGAAGAAGAUUGGAAAAAAAAGGAGACGGCUUCAGCAGAAUUGAGGAUUCCAAUAGAGUUAUUUGGAUUUGCUUUUCGCUGUUCUCAACUUUUACUUUUCUUCUUUCUUUGAUUGUUCUGAUGUAUCCUGUGAACAAUAUAUUUAUGUUUAUUUUUCUCAUUCCGAAUAUAAACUAGAUUUGCUUGUAGUUGAGUGACGAACAAUCCAAUGGGUUCUUGACUGUUCUUAUGUAUUGUUAUGUCAUUGUUGUAGCACUUUACUCUAGUAGUUAUUAUUAAUAUAACUGUUAUUUCGGUUGACCACCCAUUUAAUAGUUCCAAUUAAGAUAGAGCAGAAAAAGAGCAUGUCUUAGCGGAUAUUAUUAGAGUAUUACUUGAUCUUAAGUUAAGUUUCUUGGAUUAAGUUAUCUUGAAUCUCAUAAGGGCAAUACUUGAACUUAAGAUUUGUGACACACUAGACAUAGGUGCUCACCUUGUAGGGUGGAGAGACAAAAAGGGUCAUAAAGCCAUAUCAUGAGUAGAUUAGCAACUGGUCAUUGCUAGUGUAUUUAAGGGUAUGAGAGUUCCAAAAUGCGACAGAUGAGGAUGCAGAUUAAUUCUGCCCAGUGCUGCAGCACUUGCCGUAACAACUAGAGUUAACUUGAUGAAAAAUAGUCAGCCUAUAAGGAGAGUUUGAUCAUUCAACUACCAUAAUAUCAAUUGAGUCUUAGACACAUUUAAUUUAAUUUAUUUCAUUAUGGUAUUGUUUUACUUUAUUCUCUCACAAUCAUCAAUUACGAUAAAACUCAAUUUACAAUUGUUAACUUCGGCCUUAAGUUGAUUUGUACUAUUGUGAUUGCUAUAACAUUUCGAGUAACAUCAAUUCCUGUGGAGACGAUCUUGAAUAUUCAUCACUUUAUUACUUGUUGUGUAUACUUGCACAUUGGCAUUUGUAGCAAUUGAUUAUAAAAUUUAUCAACACCAACCCAAGUUUCUCUCUCUAAAUACUAUGUGAUACUUAGGGAUGGCAAUGAGAGAGUUAUAAGUUGGAUCUACCCUACUUUAAAUCCAUAUCUGUGAAAAUUUGAGAUAUGUGUCUACACCAAAUCAAACAUGGAUCUAUAAUUUUUGCUCCAUAUCUAGAUCUAAAAAAAAAAAAAAGAUUUAGAUCUGCUCCAAAAUUCAUCAUAAAUUUAUCAAUUUUAAUUUUUUUUAUAGAUUAUAAGAGAAGAGAAUAUGAACAAAUUUAUACUUAUUUUACUCUAAGUUUAGGAAGGAAACAUGAGGCCAAUGAUGAAGCGCCACGUGUAGAUAUUUGAGAAAUUAGUUUAUCUCAGGUACCUUGGGUACCCCAGGUACCUUAGGUAUCCCGGCUACCCUAGGUACUCCGGGGGUACCUCGGAUACACUAUGUAAGGAUAUAAAAAGUCUUUGUAAAAAUUUGAAGAGAUAUGUGAGCCCCGAAUCUCAAAAAGAUCGGUUGAAUACGUGUCAAAAAAUAAGGAAUCGGUAGGAAAUCUCGUGCUAUAAAAGAGGAGAUAACCGCCUGUCAUGCCAGUGAAUCUACCAAAAGUUUGAUAUUAUGACAGUUGGGAUCACCAGCUUUUCCUGCUAUGCCUGUAAAAUUACAACAGAAUUGCAGAGGUACGCGGGACCACUCCACUACGCCUAGCACGUGAAUACGCCAUAAACUUGCUCUUCACGUAUAUUUUUUAAACGCCUAAGCCGCCAUACGCAUGAAAAAUAAGAAUAUUCUUGAUAUGACAGCAGGGAACACCACUAAAAUAGCGCCAGGUGGCACGGCGACCGAGGUACUCUAUAUAAAUACUCAGGUUUAAUUUUUAUCAAUUAAGUUCACAGAUACACCAGAAAAAAUCAAGGUUUCUUCAACCUCAAAACCUCCAUUACCCAGAGCUUGCAAGCUCUCUAACCUAAGAUAACCCAACUCUGACUUGAGCAUCGGAGUGUGGUCGCCGGCCACCCCCGGCUCCACCUCUGACCUCUUUUUUGGUUGUUUUGCAGGUUUAAGACGAGUUUCACCAGCCCUCCGCACCUGAAGUCAGACUCCCUCCAUAUCCACCGCCAUCUCAAUCCUCCUCCACUCCACAAAAAGCCUAAACAGCCAGCACGAGCCAAACAAGCGAGGCACCCCGCUCCCUGACAAAAGAUAAAUUUAUUGUUCUUAACUUGGUUUUGUGAUUUUUUAUUCAUUAACCCAAAAUCAGCCACAAACACUCUAAAACACUAGAAGAAAAAUAAUAGAGCAACAAAUAUUUGAGAAAAAAAAAUAUUGCUAUUAACUGAAAUGCAUAAUUCACUCAAUUAAAAUUAUGAAGAAAACUUUGAAUUUCAUAUAAAACUAGUAAAUAUGAUAUGUUAUAAGUGUGACACUAAUUUAAUAAGUUAUGUAUAAAUUUAAUUUGACUAUAAAAAUAAUAAACAAUUGACAGUUAAAUACUUUUAAAAAUUAAAUAAAAUUUUAUGGAUCUAAAUUUUAAGUUACAUUUAUAUCUACUCCAAAUUUAUUCUGAGUUUGCUCAUUUAAAUCUAUAUUCACUCCGAAUUCAUUUUAGACCGAACCAAAUUUGAUCAACCUAGAUUUAUAUCAUGUGGCUCACAGAUUAGAAGGUAUAACAGAAUAAAAUUUUGCGUUAGGGUUAUUUUGGUAACUUCAAAAAUGGAUUUUAGGUGCAAAGUAGCAAAGAGCGCCACCUUUCGUAAGUAGUGAAAAAAUUUACCUCAGAACUUCCGCCCCAAGGCCCAAGCACAGAGAAAUUUUCUGCCACUCUUCUCGAACGGUGAAACCCUUGAAGCAGCAAAAAUAAUUAAACAUGGCAGCCCCGGCUUUGACUUCAUCUCUAUCUUAUUCUUUAGCAACAGCAACAAAGCCCUUUGGAAACAACUCUUGCUUUCAUGGCAACGGGAUUCCCAUUUCAUCACCACCUUCUUCACUGCUUCGUCCUUAUCAAAAACCCAGCAUCAAAUAUUCGUCAUCAUCUCGUAAAAACGACAUGUCCAUUUCUGCGUCUGCUUCUGCUUCAUCUCCUCCUUCUGAUUUGGACGCUUUCAAGUUCGACGCCAUCAAGGAAUCCAUUGUCUCUCGUGAAACGACACGCAGGUACAUGACGGACAUGAUCACGCAUGCAGACACAGACGUGGUGGUGGUGGGUGCUGGCUCUGCUGGCCUCUCUUGUGCUUACGAGAUUAGCAAAAACCCUAACGUUCAGGUCGCUAUCAUCGAGCAAUCUGUUAGCCCUGGAGGUGCGUCUGGCUCGGUGGCCAGCUCUUCUCUGCCAUGGUAGAUAACGCGUUUGCUGUUGGAUUAGAAGGGAAUUUAUUUUAUUAUUUUUAAUAAAAUAAGCAUGAAAUUACUGCAUUGAAAAUCAUUCAUUUGUAGUUUAUUCUCUCAUGUUGGGUCCUCUAUGUCUGGCCCCUCAAGAAAAUUAACUUUAUAAUUGUUUAUUUCAUUUCUCUCUCCAGGGACUUUACUUAUUUUAUAUUUUUGACCUUUUUUUUAAUUUUUAUUUUUAACUAUCUUACAGACCCAAGAUAAUAUAUUUCUUCGUUUUGACCUCCUACAUAUUUCUUCCUGUAAAUAUUAGGGUUGGAAUAGUUUAUUCCAUCUUUGUUUUUGUCAUAAAUUACUCAAUGGUACUGCUAAAAUUUGAUCAAUAUCUUGACUAAUAAAUAUUAUGGUUUAUGGAGAGCCAUGAAUGUUAUGGACUAAUUGGUUAAUGAGAAGUCAGAAUUUGAUUUUACUGCUUUUGUUAAAAUUUAGCUUCCUUGACUUCAAUUGAAUGUGAAUGAACUCUGAAGUUGAUACUAAUAAAUGAAUUGCUUGUGAUUGAUUAUAAAAGGUAGUGCGCAAGCCAGCCCACCUCUUUCUUGAUGAGCUAGGCAUUGACUACGAUGAGCAAGACAACUAUGUUGUCAUCAAGCAUGCUGCUCUCUUCACUUCCACCAUCAUGAGCAAGCUCUUGGCCCGCCCAAAUGUCAAGCUCUUCAACGCUGUGGCAGCUGAGGAUCUGAUUGUGAAAGGCAACAGAGUUGGCGGCAUAGUGACCAAUUGGGCUUUGGUGUCGAUGAAUCAUGACUCUCAGUCUUGCAUGGACCCUAAUGUGAUGGAGGCUAAGGUGGUGGUGAGCUCCUGUGGCCAUGAUGGGCCAUUUGGCGCCACUGGAGUGAGAGGUUGAAGAGCAUUGGAAUGAUUGAGAGCGUGCCAGGAAUGAAGGCUCUUGAUAUGAAUACUGCUGAGGAUGCUAUUGUGAAGCUGACUAGAGAAAUUGUUCCCGGGAUGAUUGUUGCUGGCAUGGAAGUUGCUGAGAUUGAUGGUGCUCUGAGAAUGGUAUUAUGUUUAUUUACAUCAUUUAGUUUGAGAGCCUUUGAUUUUCUGUGCUGCUGCUAUAAUUGACAGUGCUAAAAUCGAUUCAUAGUUUAGAGUCUGUUUGUAACUGUUGUGUUUCUGUUUCGACUUAAUUUUUUGAAAAUGCAACUCAAUUGUUCCUUAAACACAUUUCUAUAAAUUCAAUUUAAGACUGCUAAAACUGAGUCAUAGUUAAAAGUAUGUUCAUAACCAUUGUGUUUUUGUUUCGACAAUAAGUGAUGUAAUAGUUAAUCUAAAUGCAGGGACCAACAUUUGGAGCAAUGAUGAUAUCGGGACAGAAGGCAGCCCACCUGGCAUUGAAGUCACUGGGGCAGCCCAAUGCAAUGGAUGGAACAUAUGUGGGAAGUAUUCACCCUGAGCUGGUGUUAGCAGCUAGCAGUCCUGCUGAGAUUGCUGAUGCUUAAUUUGUAGUAACAGCAGCGCAAUGCAAAAUAAAAUGCAAAUUAGUGGUUGCUUAGAUUAGUUCUGUGGCAGCCAUCGGUGGCUGUGGUGGUGGUGGCUGUUUCCCUUCUAUCGUCCUUGUCUUCUCAUCUUGUUUAAGACUUUGUUGGAUGUUUUUGGUCGUGAAAUUCGCAGUAUCUAGUUCUUGUUAUCCUUUUUCUUAGUUAAUCUUAGCUAGCUUUUCCUAUGCCCUUUUCUUAUACUACGCCUAUACAGGCUACAGCUAUUUAGUGCAACUAUAGCUAUUUACUGACUUCAAAUUUUGUCAUAAAUUAAACAAGCAUUCGUGAAAGGAUAGAGAAGGUGACGAAACGAAAACAUUGAGAGAAAAAAAAAAAAAAACAACAACGUUUUUGAGAAGUCUGAAUGAAAUCUUAUUAAUGAAAGUAUGAUAUAACAAAUCUAGGGUUUGAAUUUUUUUUUAUAUUUAUCAAAAUAGGUAAAUUUGAAAUAGUGCUAUAUAAUGAAAUUCUCUUAAAUGAAAUAAGAAAAACAAAUGGGAAAUUUGAUAUCUAGAAAAAAAAUCUAAAAAUAAUAAAAAAAGAAAAUAUCUUAAACUUGCCCAAAAAAAAAAAAUCAUGGAAGAAAGGGAAUAUUAUAUUGGGUAUGAUUCUUCUCAUAUGUUUUAAAAGUACACAUGUAUUGAACUAUAACUUUGAAAAUGUACCGUACUCAUCAUGUGCAAUCAUCUUAUAUUAGUCCCCUAACUUGAAAAAGAACUUGCUCUCAUGUUAUUAGAAUAUUACAGCUCAUCGUCAUCCCGAUGGUACUCGAACAUAUUAGACCCACAGAAAGUGUGAGAGAGAUUUCAAUUUUCGGGUAAAAACAAAACAUCUCAUGACAUCAUACUCAACAACAUGAGUUUUUUACAAUAAUACUCAACAAUAUAUAGUUAAGGAUAAUGAACCCAUAGAGUAAAUAAAGAGGAAUAAUUUUUAUUAAUUCAAAAGCUUGAGAAAAUAAUGACAAUACCUAUCUAUUUAUGAAAAAGUAAACUUACAUCCCCAAAUUAACUCAAAUAAAGAAACUAAAAUCACAGUUAUAUUGAAAAUAAAAGACUUAACACAUACCCAAUUACACAAUAAUUAAAAUAAAAAUAACAAUAAAGAUUAGAAUAAUAAAUGUCUAAAAUCUUCUAAAAAUGUCAUACAUUAGAAGGAGAAUGAGUUGUUUUUGGUGAAAUGAUUUUAAAUCUAUAUAUAUUAUUUAAAAAAUCAAAAAGAAAGAAAGAAAAUUGAGAUAGGUUAACCAAGGGCACUUCCCUCUGAGAAUAGUAGUAUAUGAGACUUUCAUUUUGUGGGGCUCAAACAAAGCCACCCCAAUAUGAAAUAAAAAAUUAGAAACUUCCUAAUUUCUUUUUUAUUUAGAGAGGUCUUAAUUUUUUAAUAUUUAGACAAUAACAAAUGACAAAAAAGUUUUUAAAAAACAUUGAGAGAAUUAUGAAUUCUAUUGAAAUUUCAUUACUUGAUUGAACAACCCAAAAUUAGUAUUCUUUAAAAAAAAUAUUUGGAUUAAAAAUGCUCAAUUAUUUUAUUUAUUCUGUAUUGUCAUGACACUGACAAUGAGAUUCACAGAAUGUAUUAUUUCCUUUUAAGCUUACAAGCUUGUAAAUGCAUUCAAAUCUAUUAAUGAUUUCAUUUUACCUCAACGAAGCGCGUAGCAAAAGCAGAUUGAUAAGAUAAUAAAUAUUAGUUAUCGUUCUAGUAUUUUAUUAAGCAAACGUGAUUAGGUUACGCUCUAAUAUAGCUAGUAUUUAUUUAUGAAAUAACUCAAUGAGAUUUGAAUAACGUUUGAAAUUCAAUUAGAUGAUGCUUUAAUCUAAACGAUUUUAUAAACGAGAUUUUAAUAGAUAAUUUCAAAGGGAAUCAUAAGGAGGGGUUUUAUUAAACAAUUGAAUUUAUGAAAGUUAUGAAAAGGUCUCCCUAUUUAUAAUAGGUAAAUUUACUUCCCCAAAUUAACUUAAAAGAGAUAUUAAAUCGCAAUUAUAAUGAAAAUAAAAUAUUAAAAUACAUAUCAUAAUUGACUUAAAUUUAAAAAUAAAAAUAUUAAAAAGACCUAAAUAAUAAAAUUUUAAAAUCCUAAAAUAACAUCCUACGGUAUAACCAUAUCACCAAUUCAAAACAUAGUCUUAACUAAUAUCAUUUUUUUUUACUACGAACCCACCCCUUACACUCAAAUUAAACGUAUCCCCUAAGUUAUGAUCUUUUGACUCUUGCUUCAACUGGAAGAGAUCAAAUCAAUUGGAUUACUUGUUCAGAUACAAACUUUAUUAAAAAAUUAAUGAUUAUUUAUCAUCGUAGAGGUUAGUAAAGGGUUAAAAAAUUAAAUUCAUGCUUUACCUAGCACUAUCGUAGAGCCCAAUUUCCUACUAUGAGGGUCUGUUUGGGACCGUUGUGCUGAGGCCAAUAUUGGGCUUAAUAAGAACCAGCCCAGCCCAAAGCAGAAAUAAAAACCCUAAAAGAGGAGGAAUCAUGAUUCAAUGCAUGAGCAAACACGUGGAGGACAAGGGCUUCAAAACGGCAUAUGCCUCGCAGCCACCAUAUUCUCGUCUUGUCACACACACGCUAUAUAUACGCAGCUACGUUGUAAAGUUCACUCCUUUCUCUCUAUUUUUACGGAUUGAGACAUUUGCAGUCUCUCUCGCUCGCCGCCUUUGAAAGUUCGUAUAUUCUAUCUCUUUCUUGAUCUGUAUUUGUCCUCCGUUUACGUUCGCUGUUUCUUCAUUUUUCUGUCAGAUUCGUUUUUCCUUCACUGCCAAACAAGCCUCUAUAUUUUGUCAUCGUUUUCUUACUGGAUAACGAAAUGAUUUAGCGUUGACCUUUAUUUUAUUUUUUUCCAAUUACUUGUUGUUUGUCAGUGUUUAUUUUUAGUAACAGCUUACUUCUAAGUUACUUACGACUGAUGCUUUGAGUUGUAUCCUGGAUCAUUAUUCUUUUUUUUUAAUUUAAUUUUAUAGUGAAUCCGCUGCUGAAUCUUAAAAAAAUGUUGUUGUUAUUAUUAUUAUUAUUUGAAGUUAAAAAAUGCAUGUAUCUGAUGUCAAAUUGCAGUAUAAUUUGUUAAUAUCUCAAUCACAUGACAUUUUAUGUUGAUGAUAUUAAAUUAAUGUCUGAUUUAUUGCUUCUUUAUUUAUUUAUGUAUGCUUUUUUGUGGACAGGAAAUACUGUUGUUGUUGGUAAUAUUUGAGAAUCAGUCAAGAUGGUGAAGUUCACAGCAGAAGAGCUCCGGCGUAUUAUGGACUUCAAACAUAACAUCCGCAAUAUGUCUGUUAUUGCCCAUGUUGAUCAUGGUAUUGCUUUUAAUUCUUAUUGCGCUUCUUGUUUGUUUACCAAUUUUGAUGUAGAGUGUCCUCCUAUAUGUUGUUAUUCACUCGCUCAUGUUAGGUACUUUAGUUAGAUGGAGUUGGUUAAUAAAAUAUGUUCCCUUCAUGCAUUAUUAUGUCGGGUUUCUUUGCAGUUUGUAAGAUUUUGUUUGUAGGGAUCACUAAGCGGUUGUAUGUUCUUCUGUUCUGAGAGUUUCUGUGUGCCUAUAUUUUCUUCGAAUUAGAAUUUAUCCUGUGGAUGGGAGGAGAUUGUGGACACAUUGUUCUAGUUUAAAUCUGUUUGAUUAAUGAGUUCUUAUUGUUUUACCACUAUUAGUGUUUGUCCUGGACCUGAUCCCAGUUCAACUUUGCAGGGAAGUCAACCCUUACCGACUCUCUUGUGGCUGCUGCUGGUAUUAUCGCCCAAGAAGUUGCUGGCGAUGUCCGUAUGACAGAUACUCGUCAGGAUGAAGCUGAGCGUGGUAUUACAAUCAAGUCUACUGGUAUAUCUCUCUACUACGAGAUGACUGAUGCGGCUUUGAAGAGCUUCAAGGGAGAGCGUCAAGGGAAUGAAUACCUCAUCAACCUUAUUGAUUCCCCUGGGCACGUCGAUUUCUCAUCUGAGGUUACAGCUGCCCUUCGUAUCACUGAUGGUGCACUUGUGGUCGUAGACUGCAUUGAAGGUGUUUGUGUCCAAACAGAAACUGUGCUUAGACAAGCCCUGGGUGAAAGGAUUAGGCCAGUCUUGACUGUGAACAAGAUGGACAGGUGCUUCCUUGAGCUUCAGGUUGACGGUGAAGAGGCUUACCAGACUUUCCAGAAAGUGAUUGAGAAUGCUAAUGUCAUUAUGGCUACCUAUGAAGAUCCACUCCUUGGCGAUGUUCAGGUUUACCCUGAAAAGGGAACAGUUGCUUUCUCUGCUGGUUUGCAUGGUUGGGCUUUUACCUUGACAAAUUUUGCUAAGAUGUAUGCAUCCAAGUUCGGAGUUGAUGAGUCAAAGAUGAUGGAGAGGCUCUGGGGUGAGAACUUCUUUGACCCUGCUACAAGGAAGUGGACCAGCAGGAACACUGGCUCUCCCACUUGCAAGCGUGGUUUUGUCCAGUUCUGCUAUGAACCCAUCAAGCAGAUCAUCAACAUUUGCAUGAAUGAUGAGAAAGAUAAGCUGUGGCCUAUGUUACAAAAGCUUGGUGUCACGAUGAAGUCGGAAGAAAAGGAGUUGAUGGGUAAGGCAUUGAUGAAGCGUGUGAUGCAGACCUGGCUCCCUGCAAGUAGUGCUCUUCUGGAAAUGAUGAUCUUUCACCUUCCCUCUCCUGCCACGGCCCAAAAGUACCGUGUUGAGAACUUGUAUGAGGGUCCCCUUGAUGAUGCUUAUGCUAAUGCCAUCAGGAACUGUGAUCCCGAGGGCCCUCUCAUGCUCUAUGUAUCUAAGAUGAUUCCUGCGUCGGAUAAGGGUAGAUUCUUUGCUUUUGGUCGUGUGUUCUCUGGCAAGGUUGCAACUGGUUUGAAGGUCAGGAUCAUGGGUCCUAACUAUGUCCCUGGUGAGAAGAAAGACUUGUAUGUGAAGAGUGUACAAAGGACUGUUAUUUGGAUGGGAAAGAAGCAGGAAACUGUAGAGGAUGUGCCUUGUGGCAAUACGGUCGCCAUGGUUGGUUUGGAUCAGUAUAUCACCAAGAAUGCUACCUUGACAAACGAGAAGGAAGUUGAUGCCCAUCCUAUCCGUGCUAUGAAGUUCUCCGUCUCACCUGUGGUUCGUGUGGCUGUACAGUGCAAAGUUGCAUCUGAUCUCCCUAAGCUUGUUGAAGGUCUUAAACGGUUGGCCAAGUCAGAUCCCAUGGUUGUCUGUUCCAUGGAGGAAUCUGGAGAGCAUAUCAUUGCCGGUGCAGGAGAACUCCAUCUUGAGAUCUGUUUGAAGGAUUUGCAGGAUGAUUUCAUGGGUGGUGCUGAGAUUAUCAAAUCUGAUCCUGUUGUGUCCUUCCGUGAGACUGUCCUUGAGAAGUCCUGCCGUACUGUUAUGAGCAAGUCUCCAAACAAACACAAUCGUCUCUAUAUGGAAGCCCGGCCAUUGGAGGAAGGUCUUGCUGAGGCAAUUGAUGAUGGUCGUAUUGGUCCAAGGGAUGAUCCUAAGGUUCGUUCUAAGAUUCUGUCUGAGGAAUUUGGUUGGGACAAGGAUCUUGCCAAGAAAAUCUGGUGUUUUGGUCCUGAGACCAUUGGUCCUAACAUGGUUGUGGAUAUGUGCAAGGGAGUUCAGUACUUGAAUGAAAUUAAGGAUUCAGUUGUUGCUGGGUUCCAGUGGGCAUCAAAGGAAGGUGCAUUGGCUGAAGAAAACAUGAGGGGCAUUUGCUUUGAAGUUUGUGAUGUGGUUCUUCAUGCCGAUGCUAUCCACAGAGGUGGUGGCCAGGUUAUUCCAACUGCUAGAAGGGUCAUUUAUGCAUCCCAGCUUACAGCCAAACCAAGGCUUCUUGAGCCUGUCUACUUGGUGGAAAUCCAAGCUCCUGAACAGGCACUUGGUGGUAUUUACAGUGUUCUUAACCAGAAACGUGGUCACGUUUUUGAGGAGAUGCAGAGACCUGGUACCCCACUUUAUAACAUCAAGGCAUACCUCCCGGUCGUUGAGUCUUUUGGAUUUUCCAGCACUUUGAGAGCUGCAACCUCUGGACAGGCAUUCCCUCAAUGUGUGUUUGAUCACUGGGACAUGAUGUCAUCUGAUCCAUUGGAGCCGGGAUCCCAGGCUUCACAACUUGUUUUGGAUAUUAGGAAGAGGAAGGGUUUGAAGGAACAGAUGACCCCCCUCUCUGAAUAUGAAGACAAGCUGUAAGCGCUUUUGCCAUUAUCGAUUGCUGGCGACUAGAUUCAUUUUUUGCUGCCUUUGGUUUUGUUCUGUUUUUUUCUUUGAAGGAAACAAUGUUGACUUAUCUGAGUUUGUUGUUGUAGCCUCUGUUUAUUUAAGUUUGGACGUUCAAAUUCUGUUAUUCCAUUCACUUUCUGAUCUGAUAUGACUUGUGAUGAAUGUUAGUACUGACUAUGAUUGCUUUUCAUGUUAUGCGUUCUCGCAAUAAUGACAAAGGUAUAUCUAGAAGCCUAUUUUUUGCCAUUGCAAAUAAUAAUUUUUGUAAUGCUGAUUCUUUGUAAGGGCCUCAGCUACCAUGCAGUGCAUAAAAUCCCCUGUAUUGUGCAAGGACUGUCCUUGAGUCGUUGGAUUCAAAUUAAAAAAAUGAAUAAAAGUAAUAAAAAAAAUAAGGUAAUAGGUUGAAAUUGUAAAGAGAAAAAAAGUAUCUUCUCCCUCCCUCUCUAUCUCUUCCUCUGGAACAUUGAACAAGAAAACCUUCAUCUUUCUCCCUCUUAAUCCCCACACUAUCUUGCAUUCACUCUCGCUCACACUCCCGCUCACGCUCACGCUCUCACACUCGCUCUAGUUGUUACUCUUACUCUUGCGCUUUCUUCCAACUCAUACUCACGGUCUACCUUGCUCUCACUCUCGCUCCUACUUCCGGCUCUCACUUUCACUAUUCUCAUCAAGGUUGCUAAGCUUUAAACUUAGUCUUAUAAUUGUUAAUGUUAUUAGGUUUAUAAUUUGUUGUACUUGGGGAAAACGAUUUGUUAAUGAUAUACUGUAGAAAUAUAAUGCGCACACAAUAUUUGGUCAAGAAUGAGCAAAAAUUGACUCAAAAGCGAGGGUAUGUGAAACAGGUAAACUAGGUUUAGAGAUUUGAGAAUUUUGAAAAUAAACAAAGAAAUAGUGUUUUUGGAGUGAAUAUGUGAGGUUAAUAAAUGAAAAAUGGUUCUAGAGACUCGCUUUGGCAAGAAAUUGAGUGGAAAAUGAAGAAUUUUAGAGAGAGAAGUGAUGGAAACGAAACAGUGGAGAGAGAGAGAGAGAGAGAGAGAGAGAGAGAGAGAGAAUGAGUGACAAAGAUGAUGAACAAGCCCUACAAUAUACGAAGUUGGCUAGCCACUUGAACCAAGCGGUUAACUGCUUCAGUUCUACAAACUAAGCGGUCAGCCGCUUGAAGCCUUUUAAAGAAAGCGGUUAGCCGGUUCCCCUAAAAUUUGGACCAUUUGUGUUUCGACCAAAAUUUGAUCAAUUGCAAGACCAUUUUGUGAUUCCGAAAAAUUUCAAAUGCAAUUUUUUUUAUGCAUGAGACAUGAUGAUGAACAUCCAAAAACAAAAUUUUAAGCAUAUAAUAUGUUAAACUCAAGUAUAUAUCACACAAUCAUCAAAGACAAGAAAUCAGACAAGUUAAGGCAAAUAUAAAUUCCAUAUCAUAAGUGUAUAAACAAAAUAGUAACACACUAACAAAACCUUUAAUUAAAGCACGGCUCUUGCAAAGUCAAAUACAAUUAAUAUUUACAUCUUCCUAUUAGUCAAAUGAAUUGUCACGAGGCCACCAAUUAGAGUGCAUUUUGGGAUAUGGAAGAAAUCUAAAUGUAUCCCAUCCUAGUGAUGAUGACAUUGAUGAAUUAUUCCGAAAACUAAUUAAUAGAUUCUGAGAACACUUGAGAACUACUCCCACAUUCAUUUUGGGUUUCAAGUUCAUAUGAUGCUUCACUAGUGUUGAAUGAAAAUUGUUCACUUGAGCGAGCUAACUUAGAACUAUCACGACCAUAAUUGUUACUAACAUUGGCUUCACUACUUCUGGAAGAAAUUAUUCAUGAAUAAAAUGAAAUUUGCUCGUCAUAAAUUAUGAAACAAUAAACAACAAACAUAAAAAAAAGUUACUCUGAACUCGUAAUAUAAAAUUUGAACAUAAACAUGAAACAAAGGCAAAAAAGAAAAUUUUUGGGGUGUUUGGAAAAUAAUUAAAUGAAAUAUUGAACAAUAAAUAUGAAACACAUUACUUAAAAUACGUAAUAAUGAACAUAAAAUAUGAGUAGUUCUGUUAACAUAUAUGUUUCCAUAAUGUUGAUUUUGAUGAUAACAAACAAGAUUAAGAAUGAUUAAUCUUUU